rnacentral:lncRNA from 1 species
GUCGACAUGCGAAUCAUAGCACUUCACCAUGAUCCUGACUUAUGGGGAGAUGAUGUUGAUCUUUCCAAACCAGAGAGGUUUGCUGAAGGGAUAGCCGAAGCUACUAAGUAAAAUGCAGCUGCAUUUAUGCCCUUUGGAUUGGGACCUCGAUCUUGCGUAGGCAUGAGCUUUACAAUCAUUCAAGCGAAAAUUGCACUUUCCAUGAUUCUGCAACGCUACACUAUCAACCUCUCCCCUAGCUAUGUUCAUGCACCUUUACAACGUCUUACACUCAGGCCACAACAUGGGAUUCAGUUGUUGUUUCAUUCACUACGUUAUGAUGCUUAAAAUUCUAGUCUGUUGGUCUCCAAUAUAGUAAUAUAUAAUAAAAUGUGGAUAAUACUGUAUUUUGCAACCAUAUGAUAAUAUAUGGUUUUGGGAUUUCACGUUUUGGUGACAAGAUUAUAUGCUCUUUUUUUUUUGUUGAUAUUGUUAAAGGUUAAAAAGGUAUUACAGCAAACGCCGCCACCACAGGAGCAGGCCCUACAGUCCUGUACAUAACAUAAUCAACAACAAAAUAGUCCACCAAAGAGAAAUCAAUUCAAACUACCCCAAAAAGCUGGAACGGCAGCAGCAAAUCCAGUCAGCUCCCUGAGCAUCAUACAGCAACACAGCAACAAGAACAUCACAACCCAGUCAUAUACACGCCAUGAAGACAUUGGACUCCACAUUUUGCUAAAGUAUCAGCAAAGCAGUUAGAUUCUCUAUACACAUUCACAAAGGAGACAUUAUGGGAUCUCAUCACACAGCUUGGAAUAUGACCCAUCCAGCAUUUGUGAAACAGUGAAGAUGUCAAGUCCAGGAGCUCCAAACAAUGCCUCAGCCGGUGGAUCCUAUAAUUAGGUGUCUUUCUUCCAUUGCUACUGCAGUAGUGAAGUUUUUAUUCCACUUGGUUCCCUUCUUCCAGAGUUUCUGCUUGAAACACUCACUCCUCGAGCCGGCCAUUGCUUGUUUUCAUUUUUAAUUUUGUAAUAUAAUAUAUUACAAAAUAUGAAUGGUCAACAUUAAAAUGUAUUGCUAAAUGUUGUAUUACCAUUGCUAAAAUUUUAUUUUAACAAAAAAAAUCGUUGCGAGUUCAUCAUGUAUACCUCCUUUGUAUAAAAUAUGUAUAGAAAUUGAAAAGUCAUUUUUAAUUAUAUAUACUGUAACAUUUUUUUUUUGUUUUAAAAUAUAACUUUUUUCGUAACGAUAUAAUUUGUUUAUCUAAAAGUGUUUUAGCUAUAAUAAAAUUUGUUACAAUAUCACAAUGGUAAUAGUUACAAAUACUAUUACGUAACCAUAGUAUAUUGGUUGCAAAAUAAAAUUUGCAACAAUGUAAAAUUAAAUUUGCUAAGUUUUUUACGUAACAAUAAUAAUAUUGAUUACCAAAUAUUAUUUUGUAAGGAUAUUUUAUUUGGUUGUGUAUUAUAUUGUGCAAUGAUUAUAUUUCAUUGCCAAAAAAAUAUUUUAACAACCAUUAAGCGUGGUUGUCAAAUUAUUUAUUUAACAAUAAUACUAUUGGUUGCUAAAUAUUAUUCUGCAAUAAUGUUUUAAUUGGUUGUGUACUAAUUACGCAACAACUAUAAAAAUUUAUUUAAACAACCAUAAAAUGUGGUUGCCAAAUAUUUUUUGCAACAACAACAAUAAUAAUAUAUUUGUUAAUGCUUUUACAUAACAAUUUUUACUUAGUUAUGAAAUAUUAAUUUACAAUGGCAUAAUAUUUGGCCAUGUCUUAUAUUACACGAUAUUUAAAUAUUGUGCAAAGUUAAUUUUAACAACCUUAAUAUUUUGUUGCAAAAUUUUUAUAUGUAACCAUAUUAUUAUGUUCGUUGAAAUUUAUUUUGCACCAAAAUAUUAUAUAAUUGAUAAUAAAAAGAAGUAAUUACAAAUAUUAAAGAAACUAGUUAUUUGUUUAAAAACAAUAUUACCAAAAUUUUAAGCCCGUUUAUUAGAGUCCGGUUUGAAAAAUGUGCCUAAAAUUUAUCCCAAGCCCAACCCAAAUAAAAAUGCUAAACUCGGUCCGACCCGCUCAUAUUAUUUUUUAUAUAAUUUUUUUAAAAAUAUAAUACAUAAAAAUACUAAAAAUAUUAAAAUAAAUACUUCCCAAUAAAUUGAAAAUAAAUUAAAAAACAAUAUGUAUACUUAAAUAAUACUAAGAUAGGGUGCAACUUAACAAGCAAAUGCCUCUAAAAUAGUAACAAAAUUAACAAUAAAAUAACAGUUAUGCAAUAUCCAAACAAUAACGGCUAAUUUACCAAAAAAAGCCCAUUUUUUUUAAAAAUUACCGAAAUAAGCGGUUUUUUAAUUAUUUACCGGAAUGGGCCAUUUUUCGCGAAAUCGCGUCCACGUGGACGCGAUGUCAUGCCACGUAGCGCGGUACCGGAAACGCGAUUUUGACUCUGAUUUUACGUUUGGGUUUUCUGGCUUUUACGGUUUAGGGUGCAGGCUUUUUAGGGGUUAGGGGUCCCGGAAAAAUUGUUUUCGAGUUGAUGUAUCUGGUCAAAUAGUGGGAAAUCGCUUUUACCAGGAUGCUAUUUGAGAAGAAAUUGUGAAAUCGUGGCCUCGUGGACGCGAUUUCGCUACAGUGGUCAUGUAAGAAAUAAUUUUUUUUGACGUUUUCUAAGCAAAUAGUAUAAAAUCGCUGAUACCAGGAUGCUAUAUGAGAAGAAAUUGUGAAAUCGCGCCCUCGUGGACGCGAUUUCGCUACAGUUGGUCAUGUAGGAAAUAAAUUUUUUUUGACGUUUCUGAGUAAAUAGUGUCAAAUCGCGCCCUCGUGGACGCGAUUUUGCUACAGUAGCAAGUUUGGGCUGAAGCUAUAAAUUAGGCAGAAAAUGUUCUUAGAAUGCAUAACUCACAGAAAAAACAUUUUAGAAAGGCUAAGAAACUUAGAGUUUCAAAAUGAGUGAACGUAUUACUGCUGUUAUUUACUACGAUAGUGAGGUUUGCCACACCGAGAAUGGUGUUGUUUUUUUGUCGGAGAAUACGGUGCGACUGUCAUUUAGCCAAAACAUAGAUUUGACGGAACUCCGUAAAAGAAUUAGGCGUAAAAUCUUCGGAACAACGCCAAUGAAAGUUCUGUCAAUGACGUAUCGAUUUUGUUCUUCUUUUGAUCCGGUGACAUAUGACUCCUUCGACAUAAAAGGUGCUCGUAGCUUGGAGGCAAUGGUGCAGACUCAUCUUGCUAGCGGAGCAACUUAUAUUGAGUUAUAUGUACAAUUUACGUCGCCAACUGAUGUACUUCCGUCUGGUGUUCGAGAUGUAUACAUACCCCUGGCCGACACUCUGUUAGCGUGUUACAAAAUACGGAACAGCCCAUGUUCGGUAGCGGUGUCGAAUGCAUAUCCCCCCUAGACACUCUGUCGGUGGAUGGGACAUGUACAUCGGUGGCUCGACAUUUGACGCUGGAAAUACGAGCUGGGGAACUGCAUCAAGUUCUACUGGAUGGCAAUCUACAUCCAAUUGGGGACGUUAUCAAAUGCCCAGAAGAAGGGAUGACGUACUACCUACAACAUCAACCGGUGAGGGGACGUCGUACGCUGCAGAUGAUUGUGGGUUAGAAGGUGACUCCGAUGUGGAUCCACCUCGAGAGCCCGGGCCGGAAUGUGCAGAGGUGGGAUUAUUUUCUGAACCGGAGCCUAUUCCAACAGAAGGUGAAGAUAGUGAUAGGAGUGCAGAUGAUGAAGAAAAUCCACGAUUCAGAGCAUACUCACCUCCAGCCCACAUGCAUAAUGUGGAUCUGUCAAAUGAUGAUGCGUUAGAGUUUCCAGAUCUACCACACCGGGUGCGCGAUCGUACAAGUUCGGGGGUAGAUCUCGGUGAACUUGAAGUUGGUAAUCAGUUUACCAAUAAGGAUAGUUUUAUUGGUGCUUUGAAACAGCAUAGCGUCAAAAACGGCGUUAAUUACCACGUCGUUAAAUCAAAAUCUGAUAAGUUUGAGGCGAAGUGUGCGGUGCAAGACGGNNNNNNNNNNNNNNNNNNNNNNNNNNNNNNNNNNNNNNNNNNNNNNNNNNNNNNNNNNNNNNNNNNNNNNNNNNNNNNNNNNNNNNNNNNNNNNNNNNNNCUCGUUAAGGAAGAGGACAGGGUUGUGGGAGAUCAAAAAGUACAAAGGUCCACAUACAUAUGCUGCAGGUACAGGAUUGAAUGUGUCUGAAUAAUAUUUUUAUUUUCCAAUGUUGCAUUAUUUAAUGUACUCCCUCCCUUUGUAGGCGUUUCAGAAGAUCAUCCGAAAAUGGAUUCAGCUAUGUUGGCUAGCUUGAUACUGCCCACGAUAAAAGCAGAUCAUCGGACUUCAGUGCCGGUGAUAAUUGCCAAUAUCCGUAGCCAAAUGGGGUAUACGCCCUCUUACCGCAAGGCUUGGAUAGCUAAGCAAAAGGCAUUGGAGAAGAUGCAUAGUGGUGGGUCGCCUCAUAUAAUGAAAUAUGGCAAUGGUGUCAGGUGGUAGAGAGAUACGUCCCAGGUGCCAUCACAGACCUUGAAACGGAACAUGCGUACUACAAUGACCGAUUGCUACGUGGAUGCCAAGUGUUCAAACGCCUAUUUUGGACCUUUAAGCAAUGCCGAGACGCAUUUCCCUACUGCAAGCCAUUGGUACAAAUUGACGGUACCUUCAUGUUCGGUAGGUACACUCAUCGGCUAUUGGUUACAGUGGCACAGGACGGCGGUGGGAGAAUUCUUCCAAUUGCAUAUGCAAUAACACCGGGGGAGUCGUCUGAUGACUGGGAUUUUUUUCUCUCUAGGUUAAGGAGGCAUGUCUGCCCCCAACCUGAUAUCUGUGUUAUUUCAAAUCGGGGCACCGGUAUACUAGCUGCAUUUGAUCGAGAGGGAAGCUUGUGGCAGCGUACACACCAUAGGUAUUGCCUGAGACACGUUGCUUCGAACUACUACAGGUAAUAUCCAUCUAAGACGGAACGACGACAAGUGACCAACAUGGGUAUUUACUGUAUAAUUGUAUUAUUUCGUUUGUCAAAUUGAAUUAGUUUUAUUGGUAGACGCGGUAUAAAAUAUUCACUAUGUUCUUAUAUUGGUAGGGUAUGAAAUGAAUAAAGAUCGUUUUCACGAGAUGUUGGCAAUCUUGCGAUCCCAAAACGAAGAAGGGGCGGACUACCUUUGCAACAUACGUUUCGAACAGUGGGCACAAGCAUACGACGGAGGCCUACGAUAUGACCAUAUGACGUCGAACCUGGCAGAAUGCAUAAAUUUUGUUCUUAAAGGAACGCGCCAUCUACCGAUACCAGCGGUUGUGCGAAAGACAUAUUUCCAUUUGGCGGCGCUAUUUCCAAAGCGAGCAGCAGGUUAUGCAGGCCAGAUGUAGGGUGGGCAUGUAUGGUGCAGUAAGGUAGUUCAAGAAAUUAACAAGGCGAAGGCGAGGGCAAACGUCAUGCACGCUAUGUGUCACGAUCGAGACAAUUUAUGGUUUCGCGUGACGGAGUUCGACAUACCACACCAAGGUGUUGUUGGCGGGCAAUAUCUUGUACACUUGCGAAACAGGACUUGUGACUGUGGGAAGUUCGAUGCACUUCGUUAUCCAUGCGCUCAUGUUAUUGCAGCCUGUCAGAAACUCCGUCUGGAUCCGCUGAGUUAUGUGGACGAAGUGUACAAAUUAGAAAACAUGUACAACGUAUGGAGACACAUUUUCCCACCGGUCCCAGAUGAACGUAAGUGGCCGCCCGUAUCUCUUGCUCCUUUUAAACUGUUACCGAAUAGAGAAUUACGUCGCAAGCCGAAGGGUCACCUUCCUCCACUAGAAUACGGAACAAUAUGGAUAUCCGAGAAACAGCCAGUCAACAGAAGUUGUGCGGAUGGUGUAGGAACCCAGGCCAUACAAGUUGAUCGUGCCCUAAUCGCAAUAGUUAAAUGUAAUUAUAGAAAUAAUUACCUUUUAUUCAAUUAUUAAUUAAUAAUUGUAUUAAUUGUUAGUAAAAUUAUCAAAUUACUACAAUUUCUUAAAUGUUAGUACCAGUCAAAACAUUUUACGAAAUCCAACAUUAUGUAAAACUAUAAUUUCUUAAAUGGUUACUAAGAUUAUCAAAUCCGCUGAGUUAUGUUAGGGUUUUUACAUUAAUUAAAUUAGGUUAGGUUAGGGUUUUUAAUUAAAUUAGGUUAGGUUAGGGUUUUUAAUUAAAUUAAAUUAGGUUAGGGUUUUUAAUUAAAUUAAAUUAUGUUAGGGUUUUUAAUUAAGUUAAGUUAGGGUUUUUAAUUAUAUUAAGUUAGGUUAGGGUUUUUAAUCAAAUAAUGUCAAAAUAACUCAGAAAAAUUUCUAUGUGUAUUACAUCGUCAUAAACUUCUAUUUCAUUACAUCAAAUGAUAAAUUUUAAUACGGUAAUCAAUGUCUAUGACCGGGGGAUUCGGUUCCACAUGGCGGCCGUCGACGGUUACGCGCUGGAUUCCUCCUUCCUCUAGCUUCCGGCGGCCGUUGUUCUUCCUCGGGUGGUGAUUGUUGUUCUUCCGGUUCGGCAUCUGCUUGUCGGACUUGGGACGAUGAUCCACCUUCAAAGAAUACUGUAUGUGGAGGUGUUUGCAUCAUGAACGGCGACGGAGUUUGAAAGCCAUGCGUUGCUGGCGAUUGGUAAAAAGGAGAGCUCCCCGACGGCCCCCCUUACGACCCCUCCUGCGCCGAUGGCCUAGUUAUCGGUGGUCCGCUCGGCAUUACAGGAAAUGGAACUGAUCCGGGCAUUUGGCUCCAAGCUGCCAUAUGCUGUUGAAAAGGAUACAUGUACGGGUUAGGGUACAUAUAAGGGCUAGGAAACAUACCUGGCAUCAUAGGGAAAGGCGAUUGCGUGGGUAUCAUCUAUUGAAUUGCUGCGUCAGGUGACUGCGCCGGUGCUCUCGUUGGGGACUGUGAUUGCAUUGCCGCUGAUGAUGGGCCGGGUGAAUGUCUGGGCCUCGUUGAUGGGCUGCCCUCGUAGUCUUGUCCCCUUGGAUUUAGAGGCCCGCGCAUUUCCCUUCCGACACGUAUUUACCGCUGCCUCUCCUCUGGCGUAAGUAAAUACGGCUUCCCAUGGAUCCUAAACCAUGGCAUGUAUUCUAUAACGCACGCUAACUCGGGAACGAUGAUUUGUUCCCGAGUAGGUAGAUAUUCAUACCGAUUUUCCCACAUUUCUGUGUACUCUGACCAGUAUCUAGGCCAAUCCGUACCUAAUAGCCGAAGGUCGAUUUUGUGGUGCUCGUCAAACACCUUAGGGUCCGCAGGGAUCGGUUGUCUACAUCCAAACUGUCGUAGGACUCUGUCUGUCUGGUGGGGCUCCACAGUUGCAUAGUUGAUCAACACCACUUUCACGUGCCAAGCGUUGGGAUUUUGUAAAAACUCUUCCGGGAUUACUGCCCGGAUUGCCGGAUCCUCGUAUGGUGUCCAUUGAAACUACAUGAACAUGAUAGAAAUAUUACUUAUAUACAUAAUACUAAAUAGUAAAUACUAAAUAUCAAUCCACUAGUGAAUGUAUGGAAAUAUCUAUUUGCAAUAAUACUUACUUCUGCUUCCGACCGUUGGUCCAAUAGAAGCUGUAUAUCUUCAAGUUCAGACGGUAAUCCACGAUAACUCGCCGGAUGGUUCCACCUAAUUAAAUAAAUUUUUAGCAUACUUUUAUUCUUACAAAAUCUACAUAACAAUUUCAAAAUGUAAUGAAGAAAAUUUACCUCGUUACGAGUGGGAAUAUAUAUGGGUGGUUCACUCGAGGACGUAGAAAUGGAAAGCGAAACCGUGCCCAUGAUUGCAGUAGUGACAGGCAUCCUCCGAUUUUUGCUCUCCUCGGUUUGGUCGCCCCGCACAUCUCCCGAUAUAAAGUUUCCAAGACGGUAGACCCCCAACUAAAUUCACCGACUGCUCUAAAAUCAACGAGUUUUAGCAGCCACCUUAGAUGUACACAGCUCCGUGACGUGUCGGCCAUGAGAUAGCCUCCAAUUAUUUGAAGAAUGUAUGAUCGAGCAUAUCGGAUUCGUUCAAAUUCGGUUGAAUUUUCAUUCAGACCGGGGAAGGUGGCACGUAACCAGCUCAUCUCCACCUUACCUCCAUCCAUUUUAUCCGGAACGGCGCCCAAAAGCUCGUAGCACACCGCCUCCCAAUUGCUAGAUUGGGCAGACCCAGUGACUGGGUGCCCGUCCACCGGUAAUCCCAAAUGCAGAUGGACAUCUUCUAGAGUGAUAGUGCACUCUCCACAUGGAAGAUGAAAUGUGUGCGUCUCAGGUCUCGACCUCUCGAUCAACGCACUGAUCAGUUUCGUCUCCAACUUGCAUCCCCGGCCUACCGUUGCCACGUGCCAAAAUCUCGCUUCCUGCAGGUAGUUCUCUACUAACGGUGAUGGAGGAGCAUGCAUAUUCCGAAUAUUGCAUUCCAAUACCCGAUCUUCAGCCUUUUAUAAGAAAAAAUAAAUUAAUAAAUAUCUAAAAAUACAUAAAAAAAUAUCUUAAAUAAAUUUUAAAUUUUAAAUUUAAUACUUACCAUUUUCAAUUGCUCCACCGAGAUGUGAUUCCUAUCAAGACGAAUCAAUGAUCCGGCCAUUGUUGAAAAUAUUAAAAAUUUUAAAAUUAUUUUAAAAAUAAAAAUUUUAAAAUUUUCUUAAAAUAAUGAAAUUUAAUGAAAAAAGAAAUUUAAUAUGGAUUUGGAGAUUUUUUGAAGGAAAUUGAGAGGAUUUUAGAAGGAAUUUGAGAGAAUUUUGAAAGGAAUUUGAGAGAAUUUUUGAACGGAAUUGAGAGAAUUUUUGAAGGAUAUUGAUAUUGAAUUUUUUUGAGAAAAUAAAGGGGUGGGGGUUUAUAUAAGUAAAAAAAAAAUUACGUGGGGGGGGACAACGGUCAAUUUUUUGACCGUUGGGCACUGUUCACGCGCGCGGCCACAUCGCGUCCACGUCAGCAGGUCGCGCUGACGUGGACGCGAUGUCCUGUCACGUACCCUGACAUCGCGCUGACGUGGACGUGAUUUCGCGGAAAAUAGCCCAUUCCGGUAAAUAAUUAAAAAACCGGCCCAUUUCGGUAAUUUUUUAAAAAAACUUUUUUUAGUAAAUUAGCCAACAAUAACAACAAAAUAGUAACAAUAUAAUAGUGAAAUUGUGGCACAAUAGUGAAAAAAAAAUUAAGAAAAUAGCAUCAAAACAAUAAAAGAAAAUAAAAGAAAACAACAUGUUUUCUUUUUCUUUUUUGCAUAUUCAGGUCGGGCCGGACUCAAGCAAAAAAAACCUUGACUGAGGCUCGGCUUGUUUUUUAAAUCGGCCUCAUUUUUUGUCCAAACACAUUUUUUGAGCCUAAUUUUUACCCAAAUCCUCCCACUUUUCGGGCGAACCAUUCGGCCCGACCCAUAGACAGGUCUAUUUCAAUUACAAUUAAAUUAAAAUAAAAAUCUAACAAAAUUAAAUAGAUAUAUAUAAUAAACUAAUAAAAAUAAUUUUAAAACUAAAAUUGAAAUAACCCAUGAAAUUUAAAGUCUAAAAAUUAAAAAUUUAUAUGUACUGUAUGGUAAUAAAUACAAAAUUAAAGUUUAGAUAUAUUCUCCCUGUUCACUUUUAAAAAUCUUUUUCAGGUGAAUUGUAGUGGAGAAGGUAAAACACAUUUCAAGCAAAAAAAAUCACAUUACUUUUCCAUUAAUUUUUAAUCCAUUCGGGUAAUUAAUUAAAAUCUUUUUACAAAAUUCUCUACCAACCACACCUCGUCUUCUCGAAUGAGGGUUAGCAAAAUUCGAUUUAAUUCAAAAAAUUUAAUAAAAUAUUCAAAUUUUAAAUUAAAAAGUUCGAGUUAUUCGAGUUAAUCCGAUAAUUCGAUUAACUCGAAUAAAAAAAUCAAAAUUUUCAGUUUAACUCGAAUAUGAAUUACACAAUUCGAGUUAUCUGAAAAUCGGAAUAAGAAAAUAUAAAACUACGUUGUUUUGAUAAAUAUUUAGAUUUUCUAAAGUUGAAGCCAAAACCGUUUAUUUAAAAAACAAAACAAUUAUAUUGUUUAUGUAGUUAUAUAAUCUUGUAUUUCGUCUACUAGUUAAAUAAUCGGUUCAUGUAAAUGCAAAAUUGAGUAUAAAUAAUAGGAUUUGUUAACUCGAAUCGACUUGACUCAAUUCGAUUUGAAAAUUUUUUAAAUUGAGUUCGGUUGCUAAAAUAGGAUUUGUCAACUCGACUAAUUCGAAUUUUUUUUACUCGAUCGAAUAUUCACCAUUAUUUCUAAACUAUAACAGUUAAUGGAAACUCGUUAAGUCAUAAAAAAUUCAAGUAAAUGUUUUAAACUUGAGUCUUAUGAAUACAAAAAAUAAUUUUAAAAGAUAUUUUAAAUUAUAAAAUUUAAUUGGUAUAAAUAGGGGUGAGCAUUCGAUCGAAUCGAAUCGAAUCGAAAAUUUUCAAGUUAAUCGAGUUUUCGAAUCUCAUUUUAUCAUCCUAACUUCAUUUGAAGUUUUCUCGAAUCGAGUCGAGUGAGAUGGAAUUCGAAUCGAAUCGAAUCGAAUCGAAUAUAUUUGUUCCAGUUAAAUUUUAAAAAAUAAUUUUGGAUCCUUGUAACCACUGUCACCCAUCGUAAUAAAAUUUGUCCACCUUAAUCAGUUUUUUUUAUUAACUUUCAUCACCUCAUAAUUUAUUUAUUAAUUUUUUAUAUACUGGUUAGCUUCUUUGCUUGCUUAGUUGUUUCAAUUAUCUUCAGAUUCUUGUCACUAUGUAUUUUGGAAUUAAAAAAUAUAUUAAAUGUAAAAAUAUGAUUUUUUAAUAAAUGUUAUUUUAAAAAUAAAAUGUGAAAUUGAUACCAAUAUAAAAUUUUAACACGAAUAUUUUAUGGCACAAUUAAUAAUUCAAUUUUAAUAUAAAUAUUCAAUAUGACUAAACAAUUCAAUAAUAUAAAUAAUAUAAAAUGUGAAAUUUAAUUUAAUUUAAUAAUAUAAAUAGUAUAUAUAAAUAAAAUUAUUGCUAUUUAUGUUUAGUAAUUUUUUUUGGAUAAUUUUGAUUUUUUAUUUGAGAGUAAAUGGUGAGAAGUAAAAGUUUAAGGGGGAAAUAAAAAGUUUGGGGGAAUAAAAGUUUGAGGGAAAGUAAAUAGGGGGAGUAAAAUUUUGGAGGGAAAAUAUUAAAAAAAAUUUGGAGGGGGGAGGGUUUGGGGUAGAUGAGGUGGGAUGAGAAGGGAAUAAAAGUUUUAGGGAAAAAGUGAGAGGGAGUAAAAAUUUUGGGGGAAAGUAAAAAGUUUUGAGGGUUUUUGGAGUAAAAUUUUGAGAAAAAGUAAAUGGGAGAGUAAAAUUUUAGUGGGAAAUGAAUUUUGGAUAGAUUGGGGGGUUGGGAGGGGAGGGGAGGGGAGUAAAAGUUUUGGGGGGAAAGUGGGAAAGAGUAAAAGUUUUGAGGAAAAAGUAAAAAGGUUUGGGAGUUUGGGGUAAAAAUGUAAAAUAUUAUAGUUUGAUAUUCGAGUUAUUCGAAUUCGAAAACUCAACUCGAAAUUUGAAAAAAAAUUCGAGUUGAUUCGAAUAACUCGAUUCGUUUAACUCGAAAUUCGAAUUUUUUUUCGAUAUUUUCGAGUCGAAUCGAAUUUUGCUCACCCCUAGGUAUAAAUUAAAAUUAAAUAAAAAAUAUAAUUAGAUUGUUUGAUAAAAUAUAAUUUUUUUAAAAAUUUAAAGGUGGGGUAUUUGAAGGAAUUAAAAGAGAUAAAAUAAAAAUAAUUGAAACAAAUUCUACAUUAAGAUAUAAAAAGUUAUUUAAUCUACUUUUCAUUUUCCAAAUCUUUUCGUAGAAAAAUCCAAUCAUUUGUUUUUUAUUAUGAAUCAUCAAACUUGCUUAAAAACAUAAAUUAUUAGUUGAUUUAAUUUUUUUUAAUUGAUUAUCAAACAAGUCCUUGGUUAAUGUUCUCCAAGUUCAAGUGCCAUUUAGGUCAAAAAAAAAGUUUAAGUAAUAGUAACAUAAACAUUCAUUUUAUAACAAUAAAGUUAAAGCCAUGAAUAUUUUCAAAAAAAUAUUCAAUUAAGCCCUUGAAUGUUAAAAUAUUAAUCGAUUAAGUUCUUUGAUAGUUAAAGUUAACAGUCAAUUGUUAUAGUUAAAAUUUCAAUCAAUUAAGGCACGGUGUAGCGUUUGUUUACCUCAUCCUUUAACCAUGUGGUUGAGGGUUCGAUCCCCACUUAUGGAAAUGAAGCACAUUUCAUAAUCAGUCAUUUACCUAUUUGGAGAGCACUCAUAGUGAGGAGAUUAACUACUGUUGUUGUUGGUGGAUACCCUGAUUAUGACAAAUAAAAAAUAACAACUGCCAUUUUUUUGGAUUAUUUUUGCCACAUGACAUGCUAAGAUUGUGCCACGUGGUAUAAAAUUAUAAAAAUCAUAAAAAAAUUAUACAAGAAUUAUAAAAAUGAAUAAAAUUAGAAAAAAUAUAUAAAAAAUCUAUUUUUAAAAGGUUAAUAAAUUUUAUAUUUUAUUAUUUUUAAAAGGAUAAUAAAUUUUUAAAAUAUUUUUUUUUAUUCUUAUAUUUUUACGAGCUAUUUAAAUUUAAUUUCAAAAUAGGGCAUGCCUAAUAUAUAAAUAGACAUUUAAUUAGUGUCCAAGAGUAAUGGCGUCACUCCUAUUUUUCAUCUAGUUUAAAAAUGAUAAUUGCUUCAUCAGGUGUCUGAACAUUCUAUAUAAUUAUUCUUCAGUUCGAUGUCACCAAUAGCAACGACGACACCCAAAAAAUUUAUUACUUUUUUAAAACUAGAGGUGGUGACACCAAUGACAAUGGCGUCACCGACAUUUACUGUUCAAAAUGGGUCAUUUACGUACAUAAUUUUCAAAAUAAGUCAUUCUUAUAAAUAAUUAAAAGUUUUGGGUAUUUUUAAUAAAAAAGCUUAAGUUUGAUGUGUAAUACCCAAUUUUCGCCCGGCCCAUAUACCUUAUAAAAAACCCAAAUAAUUAAAAAAAGACAAAUAAAAUGAAAGUCCAAUCGCAGACUCAACAUCAGUCCAUUGGCCCAAUAAACAGAAACCCUAAAAUCUAAUAGCUUCCAGCACAGCCCCAACCGCCACACUUCCACGUAUACCGCCUGCAAGAAUCCAAUAGCAACAAAAACACAGUGUAAAAAUAGAGAAAAAUAGAAAAUAAGUUGUAUUUCUAAGCUAUAAAAAGAGCCAGAUUUUCUGUUUUAAAGAAAAAAAAGGGGGUAUUCAUAAAAAAUGGAGGAAGUCAGUGUAAAGGGGGAAAAUCAGUGUAAAGGGAGGAAAAAAGAAAUCAAAAAGUUUUAAAGAAGGUGAUUUUUUCACUUUUUCUUCUAUAUUUUUUGGUUACGUUUUUACUUUUCUAUUUUUUUUUUAUCAAUCUUAUAUGAAAAAGAAAAGAAGAGUUAGGAGAUGAGAAAUCUACCUGGCUUUGCCUACUCCGUUGCAAUUGGAGUCGGGCAGAGUUUCAGAUCGCUGAAGUGGCAGAGGGCAGAGAGGGUUUAGUUUUUUUCCUGAUAGUUAAUGUAAAUAAAAAGUGUUCUGAUUUUAGGGUUUUAAGUGGCUUUUAUAUUGUGCAUAAAACGGCACCGUUUAGGGCCUGUUUCAGUGGCUCUAAAAUGGUGCCGUAUUGGCCGUUUAGCCUCAGUAACCCACGUGGUGACCUGACCCGGGGAAGGAUCCACGCUUUUUGUAACGCUUCGAAAAAUUGCGCAAACAGUCCCUUUUCUUUUGUAGGGUAUUUCAAAUCGAUUCUUUUAUUUCAUUUAAAUUUGGCCACGCUUUUUAGGUUUCUUUCCAAUCUGAUUCAUGUCAAUAUGCUGCGCUUUGAGGGAAGGGAAUAUUUCCCAUUCGGUCCCCAUGUUAUCCGCGCGUCAUAUUUGGGCCCUCAUAUUUGUUUUAUCCUCAUUUUUUUCCUUUUAAUUUUGCUUUAAAUUUCAAUUUAAUCCUCAUUAGUUUGAUUUGAUUUGCUUGUGUUUUAUUUAUUUAAGUAUCGAUUAUUAUGCUAUCUUUUAAAAAAUUUUAAAUCUGAUAUUAUUUGAAUGUUUAUACUUAUUAUUAUUAAAUUAAUCAUUAAUAUUAUCUAAGUGUAUUGUAUAUUAUUAUUUUAGAUUUAUCAUGUUUUAUUAUUUUUAAUUUAUCAAUAUUAUUAUUUUAAAUUCAUCGUUAACAUUAUUUUAAAUCUAUCAUGUAUAUCUAUUUCAAAUUUAUCAUUAAUAUUUUUAAAUUUAUUGUCGAAACCAUUUUUUAAAUUAGAAAAAAGGGGGAUCGACUUUGAAAAUAUAAUGGGAGUCGCCAUCGAUCUUUUUUGAGAUGCGAUCGGAUCACCUUGAAAAUGAUUUUAGGUCUGCGAAUUUUGAGAAAACAAGUUCGAAAGUCGGUUACGCACGAGGAAGGGUUAGCACCCUCUUGAUGCCCAAAAUUGGUACCGAAUUGUUUAAUGCCUUAGUAUCGAAAACUUGAAAAGAUUUUAAAGUACGAUCCCUUGAAUGAAAUGAAUUGGAUGAUGAGACUCAUUUAUUUUGAAGACAUAGAUUGUCACACCCAGUAAGUUAGAGUGUAACAUUUUAAAUCCGCGAAAUUAAGUUUACUCUUAAAUUUUAAAACUUAUGCAUUUUGAGAAGGAUAUCUGAUUAUUUGAGUCAAAUGAGAGAAUCGAAACCCAGUAAGUUAGGGUUCGAUUUCACAAAAUCCCUAAAUAUCGAACAUUGCCUUUAUUUUCAUUUGUUAGAAAUCCUCGUCUCGAGAAAACAACAUGUCAUAUCCAAUGAGUUAGGACACAACGUAUUGAAUUCUCAAGAAUGAGCUUUUUUUGUAUGUUAAUUAAAAGAUAUUCGGUUUCUUAGAUCCCGAGGAAGAUUGGAAUCCAGUGAGUUAGGAGACAAUCUUUUCGAGGAUCACAAAUUCCGAGUGUCGCGUUGUUUUGGAGGCUUUUUGAAUAAAAGUGUUUUUGAUAUUUAAAUAAUAAACGUAACCUUUUAAGCAGAUAUAAGGCAAUAAAACGUUAAUGUACAACGCGAAUCGAUUAUUCGUAAAUUUAAAUAUACACCAAUGAAUACAAACAAUCAAUAGAUAAAUACAAAUAAACAAAGUAACAAUAGCCUCCAUUAUGCCAAUGUCAACAUCAACAUUCAAAAUAAAUAGUAUAUAAAAAAUCAAUCAAAAUACAUUAAAUCAUAUACAUAUAUUAAUUCAAAUAAAUAAUACAUGUGGGAGGAAAAUUUUAAUAAUAAUAUAAAUGAUAACGUAUACAUAAUAAUAUACAAAAAGGUUGAAACAAGCGAAAUAUAUAAAGUAGGGUUUUUAAAAGAAAAUAAUUAUAUGUAUAUAUAGGAAUAAGUAAAAAUAUAUAAUAAUAUAUACAAAAGUUGAAAUAAACAAAAUGAAUUAAAAUAGGGUCCUAAAAAAAUAAAUUAUAUAUAUGUAUAGAUAAAUAAAAAGAUAUAAUAAUGUAUUAUAUACUCGUAUAUCUUUUAAUAAAAUGAUUUAAUAUAAAUUGUGUAUAGAUAUAAAAUAGUAUUGUAUAAAAAUGUUAAAAACCUAAAAUAAUAUUACAUAAUAACAUAAAAUAAUUUAUAUACGUAAAUAAUGGCAAUUAAAUAUACAAACUAAUAUAAUAACAAUAUCAAUAAUAAUAUCAGUAGUAAUAACGGUGAUAAUAAUAAUAAUAAUAAAUUGAUAAUAAUAAUAGAUUAAUAAUAACAUUACUGAAUAGUAAAAAAAAACAAAAGGGACUAAACUGCAAGCAGAACAAAAUUAACAGGCCACAAAUAUGAUUUAAAAGAAAUGGAGGGUCAAACUGUAAUUCGCGAAUUACGGGGGGAGCCAAAUGGGAACUAUCCCGCUUUCCCAAAACGCAGCGCAGUGACAUGGACCAAAAUGUAGCAAAAGCAAAAUGAAGCAUGAAAUUCAUAAAUAAGAAAAAAACUGAUAUGAAAACACCACGAAGAAAAGAGGACCUUAUACGCUAAUAGACCAAACGACCAAAAUGCGCGGAUCCUUCCCCGGAUCGGGUCACCACGCGGGUCGUUGUGGGCAAAUGGCGCAGUUUCUUUCGUGGUUAAAAAACAAAAACCUAAGCUAUUAAACAUUUUCCUAAUCUAACAAAAAACCUAAAGAAAUGAGAGAAAAACUCUCUUUGCGCCGUUCGACGAUGAACAUCUGGAGGCGCCUAAACCACCGCUUGAUUUUGACUGCGACGAAACAAGCGACAGUCCAGCAAGCCAGGUAAACUCUCUUCCUUAAACCUCUCUUUUUAUGUUGUUUAAUGUUUCCUAAACAAAGAAACCAAAAAAAAAAAGAAAAAGAACAGUGAAGAAAAACGAAAAAAGGAAAAAACGAAUAUACCUCUCAAAUCCCUUUUUUGUAUUCAAUCUCUCUGUGUAUUGAUAUUGUGUGUAGAGGAAAAAGAACCCCUUUUACAGAUUCAAAAACGGCUUUAUAUAGCCGGAUCCAAAUAAAAAUUAAAAAUACAAUCAUAAAAUUCCAAUUUAUCCUUGCUGUUAUUUUCCUUUUUUGCGUGGUUGUUUCUGUCUCUGUUUGUUUGUGUCUGCUGCAGGUACGGCCGUACGGAGGUGUGGGCGUGGAGGCAUGCAUGGCAGUGUAUGUGAGGCUACUGUUGUGGUGGCUCACGCUGGGGCUGAGGGAGUUGCGGCACUUGGUCCAUUCCAGAAACCCUAGGGUUUUUUGGAAGCUGUUUAGGCCUAUCAGGGUUUGGGUUUGUUGGGCCUGUAACACGAUUGGGCUAAGGAUUGUAUUUGGGUUUAGGUUAGCUGUUUAAUGGACUGUUAAUGGACUUUGAAUUAUUUUUAUUAUUUGGUUUUUAUAUUUGUAUCGAGCCGGGCAAAAUUUGGGUAUUACAGCUGCCCCUCUUUGCUUGUUGUCGUGUAACAGGAACGGAGCAAAGACUCCAAAAAUGACCAAUUUUGCCCAGUCGUGCUGGACCUUGGUGCUCAUCUUCUUUGAAUUGCCUCAUUCCAUCCUACCGCAACAUCGGGGAGAUAAGAUUUGUGGCUUCAAUCAACUCCACUGUAAUCUCGGGGAGGUAAAAUCUGCCAUCUUCAGUCUGCCCCACUGCAUCUUUAGGGGAUAAGACCUGCUUACUCAGUCUGCUCCAUUAUAACCUCAGGGAGGUAAGAUUGGUUUCUUCUGUCUGACUGCAAUGUCGGGGAAACAAGAUUCACCGUUGUGGCUUUAAUCUACUUCAUUGUACCGCCAGGGAAGUAAGAUUCACUGUUGUAGCUUUAAUCUUUUUAACUGCAAUGUCGGGGAAGCAAGAUUCACCGAUGUGGCUUUAAUCUGUUCCACUAUAUCGCCUGGGGAGUAAGAUUCACUGUUGUAGCUUUAAUCUUUUUAACUGCAAUGUCGGGGAAGCAAGAUUCACCGAUGUGGCUUUAAUCUGUUCUGCUGCAUCGCUUGGGGAGUAAGAUUCGCUGUUGUAGCUUUAAUCUUUUUAACUGCAAUGUCGAGGAAUCAAGAUUUAUUGAUGUGGCUUUAAUCUGUUCCACUGCAUCGCCUAGGGAGUAAGAUUCGCUGUUGUAGCUUUAAUCUUUUUAACUGUAAUGUCGGGGAAGCAAGAUUCACCGAUGUGGCUUUAAUCUGUUCCACUGCAUCACCUGGGAAGUAAAACUGGUAUUUUCGAUCUGCUUCAUUGUCGAUGCAGGAAGACAAGGUCUGCUAUCUUCACUGAUCUGUUCUCUGGGGAACUUGACCUGUAUAAUAAACCUAAUUAUGCCUAAAGAUUAAGAUGGCAUGAUCAAAAUGAAUCCAAUGCUCCUAACUAGACAUGUGAAUAAUGUUUGCAUGAAUGCAUAGUUUUAUUUUGCCGAGAAUGAUCCCGCUUAGGUUGUCAUUACUCCAAGUUUAUUAAGGCUUUGUGACUGACGUGCUACAACGCCUUCUCGCUUGACUGGCUUUUUUGAAGAAACAUUUAGCCAGGUUGCCCCCCACUGUAAACCUAAAAGUUUAAUCCAUUAGGGCGCACAAUUUGUGCCAUCAUUCUUCCACUGCAAUUCAAGGGUAGAAAUAUGUGGCUUUUCCUCAAUCCUCUCUUAUCACAAUUCAAGGAUACAGGAUCUAAAUCGUUCUAGUUUCUCACACCAUUCUCAAGCUGUCGUACCCAAGGCUCAUACACAACUGAAGGCUUUCUUCUCUGAGGAAACCUCUUCCUGUUGCCUGGUGAUCAUUACUUGCUUGUUUAUUCAAGCUUUGUUAUCAAUAUGACAUUCUUGUCAUUUUGUUCAAUCAUGUUUUUGACAACAAAAUCCAAAGAGAAAGUCCAAAUUUAGACUCUUCCUUCUCAAAUUUCCAACCUUUAAAUUUGGUGUGCUCUAAACAAUAGUCCUGUUUCAGGUUCCUAUAUUAUUUAGAAAUGUUUCAGAGUAAUAUGCAAAACUUCCUUUGUGAAAGUUUUAUUAGUCCAUUAAUCAUUAUUCCAAUACAACAUUCUUUCAAAAAGGGUCAUAACAAUGGAUAAGAAUAAAAUUGGUUCUGGGCAUAGCUCAAAAUGAAUAAAUUAUCACAAAUAGUAAAGAAGGAUAAUAAAGAAAUUGAUUGGAAAUGUAUAUCUUCGAAAAGAAAAAAGUAUUCCAAGAACAACAAAUUCAAUAUAAAUAAUAUGAGAAUUGGGUGCCCCAGAUAUCGCAGCUUGAACUUCUCUGUACAAACUUCUGAAAACCAUUUUGAGUUUGACAUGUGUUUAGGAGAUCUACAGUGCUUUGUCGAUGCCCCAAGAUGUCGCCUACCAUUUCCUGUUGAUUCAGGUAUAACAAGAUUACUACAUGCCUGAAGAUUCAAGUUGCUCUGAUCGCUUCAUGCCCCAUUCUGAUCAAUAUUUGAGCCGCCCUUUUUCAGGUUUUCAACUCAAAUCCCCUUUGGCCUAAGGUGCCAUUUGCGGGUUUUCCCUUUAGCCUCUCCAUUUUUACUUUUUCAUUUUUUCAUUUUUCAUUUUCAUUUUUUCAUUUUUCAUAUAUAUAUAUUUUUUGACUUAGAGUGCCCUUUGCGGGUUUUCACAUUGGUCCUUUCUUCUUCUUUAAACGAAGUGUUUCUUGACUGGAUCCGAGUUUAUAGGAUUAGCCAUCUCACUCAAGAUUAAUGCUCCUCUGAAAAAGGUCUUCUUUAGAACACAGGGACAUCCCUGGCUUAGCAUUCAUGUCCUUCUAGAAUCCUUUAGUUGAGGAAGGAUAUUUUUCAACAUCCAGCCCUCUCGUGGAAUUCUCUGAGACGACAUUGUUUAUUAUGGGCUCGUAUCAUCUGGUACAUCUGACCCUAAUGAAUAGCUUUUAACCAUUUUCCUAGGUCCAACUGAUCACAUCGCAAUUGGAUCCAUUCUGCUUCAUCCAAUUCUAGCUCAAUUAAUACCCGGAGAGAGGGGAUUUCAAUCUUGUAAACCAAAGAGAGAGGUGUUGCCCCAGUAUAGAUGUUUGACAAGAAAGAAGGGCAAAUGGUAAUUUCUCAUGCCGGUCAUUGCAAGUCUCAGUCAUUUUUUCAUAAUUCAAUACAGUGAUGAACUACGGUAUCUGAUUUUGAAUUGAUCACAGACCUUAGCUAUCAUACUAACAUUCAUGAUAUCGUAUUCUCUCUAAUUCUAUACCGGCAUAUAAUGACAUUGACGCAUGAAGCAGCCUCUACCUGUUUGACAAGGUAACUAAUGAUCUCAAAUAUGAAGCAAUGCCCAUUAGAAAAUUUCGAUGAUGAUAACGACCAUGCCCCAUUUUGCUCAAAAUUUGCCCUUUUCGGGUUUUCAACUCAAAACCACCUUUGGUUACAAAGCGCCCUUUGCGGGUUUUCACUUUAGCCUCUCAUUUACUCUUUCAUUUUUCCUUUUUCUUCUCUCUUUUUUCAUUUUCAUUUUGACUUUGAUUUUGGUUUUUAUUUCUCUUCUUUUUGUUUUUGAUUUUGAUCUUGAUUUUUUUUUGAAUUGGAUCUGAACUCAUAGGAUUUGGUAAGUCCUUGUUAUCCCUUUUGACCAUAAAAUCUCCCACAUAAGAUCUUCCACUUUCAUCUUGUAUGUGAAAAAAACCUCUUUGGUAUCGGAUUUCUUUCAUAGAGCCUUUUGGGGUGUAACUAUGGCAGAAAACUUUGGAUCUUCCUCUUCAAUCAAAGUAAACUCCAACAACAUCUUGAAGGGAUGGAAACUUGACUUCAAAUGGGCAAAGCUAUGUUGAGUCAACGAGAGAGGCAUUGCCCCGGUAAAGAAUUGCAUCAUUCAUACUACAAAUUUUGACAUCGUGCUGUUGUGUAGAUUUCAUUAUCAGUGCUUAACCCGAGCAUAUCCUGGUAUGACCAUACAAAGACAUCCUUGAACUCUAGAAUAAUUUAAUGAGGUCUCACUUCAUCUUUGUGGUCAUGUCAAUUUCAAUCUUCACCCAGCUCACAAUUUCUAAUGGUUCAUCGCGAGGUAGGAUCUAUAUGUCCUCUUGUUCUACCAUCGUCAACAAGUACGGCGAUAAGCUACGAUCUAUGUCAAUUUCAAAGUCAUGAGAUCCCUCUAAGACAUGCCUCGCCCAAAAGGAAAAUCUGAGUCUGUAGCAGCGUCAUUCAUGUAGUUGAUAUCUGGGGACCCAUAGUAAGUACCGAAGAAUAUACAAAAGAAUGUAUAAAUUCAUGAAUAAUUAUUCGUACCAGAUGAUUAUGAAUGAAUGAAUAAUAAUUUGGAAGAAAUGCCAAAAGAAUGAAAGAAUCUGGAAUUAUUUGUAAAGAAUGAAAAUAUUAGCUCAGCAAUAAUUGCAAAGAUGUAUUUCAUUAAAAUAAACGUUCAGACAUGAGCCUAUUUCACAAAGGAAUUUCUAUCAUUUUUAGGCUAAAAACAACAAAGUGUUCUGAACAUUACUCUAAAUAAGCUCUAAAAACUACAGGGAUUUCUUCCGUAAUCUAAUUACUUAGAACACUCCCAGGGCUAUAAGGGCGGAUAUCUAACAAGGUCCCUUCUUUAGUUGCUUUUCGUCAAUGUGAACAUUUCCCACUCUUCUUCAUGCAUUGCAUUCACCCCAUUAUCAAUUAUGAUUGGGUAAUGGAUUUUCUGCACUGGAGUCAUCAAACUUGACAACACCCAUGUUAAUGAGCCUUUUAACAAGCUUUUUAAAGACGGUGUAAUUUUCUAUCGAAUGUCCCCCAAUUCUUGCAUGAUAAUCACACUGUGCACUCGCAUCAUACCAUUUGGGGUACAGAGGUUGUAGGGGUUUAGAGUAGAAAGAGGCAAUAAUGUGCACAUCGAAUAAGCAUUGAUACAGCUCCUUAUACGACAUCGAAAUUGGUGUGAACUGGAGAUUCUCAGUACUUGGUUUCACUCCAGAUUCUUAUCUCAAUGAACCUUGUUGACUAGUGACCCAUUUACUUGGAUGACUUACUGACCUUGAGUAACCUAUGUUAUUCAUCUCAUCUUCUUUUCUCCUUGCGACUGAUUUUUUGUUACUCUCUCCACCCUCUAUUCUUCCAUUUCUGAUGGUGUUUUCAAUAAUUUCACCAUUCAUAAUUAUAUCUGAGAAACUCUUUAAAGUACUUCCUAAUAUGUGCGUGAUGAACGGGGCCUUCAAUGUGUUGAUAAAGAGCAUAGUAGUUUCUCUUUCUAGGAGCAGCGGCUGGACUUGAUAGUGACUUCCCUCCAUCUUUGUGCGUACUGCCUGAAACUCUCACUCGGUUUCUUCUCCAUGUUUUGUAAAGUGAUCCUAUCGGGAACCAUAUCUGUCACAUGACUGUAUUGCCUCAUGAAUGCUUGAGCUAGGUCCCUCCUUGAACCAAUCUUGGUAUGGCUCAAUUGAUUGUACCAUUUGGACGCUGCCCCUACCAAACUGUCUUGGAAGCAGUGUAUUAGCAGCUGACCGUUGUUAAUGUAGCCAGUCAUCCUUCUACAGAACAUAGUGAUAUGAGCUUCGGGGCAGCUAGUUCCAUUAUAUUUUUCAAAUUCAGGCAUUUUGAAUUUGGGAGGAAGUACUAAGUCUGGGACUAAGCUUAGAUCUUUAGCAUCAAUUCCCUGAUUACUAUCAGUGCUUUCCAAGGCUUUAAAUUUUUCGUCCAACCAUUUAUACCUAUCUUCCCAUUGUUUUGACAAUUCCGCGUUCGCCUUUCCUUCUUCAGCUGUUUCAUCAAAAUCUGGGACGGUAAGAUUAACUUGAUUAUCACCAGGGUUAGGACCUGAUCCGGCCAAAAAUUUUAUCGGUAUUGAAACAUCGGUUUAAAACCGCUGAGGCCCAAUUGAAACAGAGGAUCUGCGCAGAGGUACCUCGGUCUUAACUUGCGUAUGCAGAGGCGUAAAGCCUGGAGGAUAGAUAGGUCUAUCCUUGUCUUCUUCUUCAUCAUUUACCAUAGGACCUUUCCCCUUAUUUACUCCUUUAGUCAGUAGAUGGGUCAAUUCAGCCAUCGCAUCUUUUUGAGCCUUGAUCAAAUUUUCCAUCAUGUCUUCUAGGAUUUUAUCUAGCCGCCAUUGCAUUUGUACUUGUAACUGUUCUUGCAUAUCCUGUUGCAUUUGCUUCAAUUUCUCUAAUCUUUGAUCCAUUUCCUUAGUUUUGCGACGAGUACCGUAAGGAUGUUUGGUUGGUUGGUUGGUUUUCCAGAUUAGCUGAAAUAAAUUUACUCUAUUAGACUCUUUCAAUGAAUUUUAAUGCAUAUCAUGCAGAUGUAUGAAAUGCAUGCCUAAAGAGACGUUGAUUCUGAUUCAAUUACAUUUAGGAAAAUUUUCUAGAAGACAAAUUUCUUUACAUAAAGCGGAUAUAUAUACGGCCUCGCCCUUAUAUUCCAAGAGACAACAUCGAUCCCCUCCUAUAUGUUAAAUCUUGCUAGUUUCCAAUGAAUGUCUCUUAUUGCUCCUUUUCUUGAUCCUGGUCGCGAUCCAUCAUCUGCCCAUCUUCAUAGAGCUCGUUAGCUUCUUCAAGGGAGUUGAAACGUUGAAGGCCCUUGGACAAUCGUCUCGAACCUUUAGGCCACAAAGCAGAGGUCACGAACUCUUUUAUCACCCUUCUUGUGUUUCUCAGAAUAUAUUCAAACAGCCAUAUUAUUUUCCACUUUAUCGAGGAAUCCGUAUUACAUGACAAGCUUUCUAAGUUAGUAACCAAACUUGAAUCAAUAUCUAUUUCCUAAGAUGCAAAUGCAAUGCAAUCAUAAUCAAAACAAAACAAGAUGGGUUAGUACAAAACAGAAGCAAACAAGGAAAACAAAAAUACCUAGUCAGGUGACCACUAGGGGUUUGGAAUGGCUCUACCUAGGAUGGGUUCCUAAGGUCUUCUAUAUGCGGUUUGGCUCUAAAGUUAAGGUACCCGAACCAGCAGAUUCCUCGAUCUUCACCCAUUAUAGACUCAUACAGAUCGAGUUCGGUUCAGGGGAAUACAUUUCCCUAUGGCUGCACGGAGAUAAAAAUCUCACGAAGACAUAGGUACAGAUGUAUCUCGAAAGUGAUCCACUAUCCUGCACGGAGGUGAAAACCUCACGAAGGAGUAGCUUCUCACUCCCACUUAAAAGGGGAAGACAAAACAGUCUUUAUGCAAUAUGAUGCCAAGAUAUAGAGCUCAAUUUACAGUAAUCAUGCAAACAAAUGCAAAGAGAAUAUCGUAAUUUUUCAAAAUCAAAUUUUUAAUUUUCAACAAUAAGACAAAAGACAAUCAAUUUUGCGGCUUGACUCUUGAAUUCCCCAGUGGAGUCGCCAAGCUGUCGAAACCAUUUUUUAAAUUAGAAAAAAGGGGGAUCAACUUUGAAAAUAUAAUGGGAGUCGCCACCGAUCUUUUUUGAUAUGCGAUCGGAUCACCUUGAAAAUGAUUUUAGGUCUGCAAAUUUUGAUAAAACAGGUUCGGAAGUCGGUUACGCACGAGGAAGGGUUAGCACCCUCGUGACGUCCAAAAUUGGUACCGAAUUGAUUGUUUAAUGUCUUAGUAUCGAAAACUUGAAAAGAUUUUAAAGUACGAUCCCUUGAAUGAAAUGAAUUGGAUGAUGAGACUCAUUUAUUUCAAAGACAUAGAUUGUCACACCCAGUAAGUUAGAGUGUAACAUUUUAAAUCCGCGAAAUUAAGUUUAUCUCUUAACUUUUAAAACUUAUGCAUUUUGAGAAGGAUAUCUGAUUAUUUGGGUCAAAUGAGAGAAUCGAAACCCAGUAAGUUAGGGUUCGAUUUCACAAAAUCCCUAAAUAUCGAACAUUGCCUUUAUUUUCAUUUGUUAGAAAUCCUCGUCUCGAGAAAACAACAUGUCAUAUCCAAUGCGUUAGGACACAACGUAUUGAAUUCUCGAGAAUGAGCUUUUUAUUUGUAUGUUAAUUAAAAGAUAUUCGGAAUUUGUGAUCCUCGAAAAGAUUGUGUCCUAACUCACUAGAUUUCAAUCUUCCUCGGGAUCUAAGAAACCGAAUAUCUUUUAAUUAACAUACAAAUAAAAAGCUCAUUCUCGAGAAUUCAAUACGUUGUGUCCUAACGCAUUGGAUAUGACAUGUUGUUUUCUCGAGACGAGGAUUUCUAACAAAUGAAAAUAAAGGCAAUGUUCGAUAUUUAGGGAUUUUGUGAAAUCAAACCCUAACUUACUGGGUUUCGAUUCUCUCAUUUGACCCAAAUAACCAGAUAUCCUUCUCAAAAUGCAUAAGUUUUAAAAGUUAAGAGAUAAACUUAAUUUCGCGGAUUUAAAAUGUUACACUCUAACUUACUGGGUGUGACAAUCUAUGUCUUCGAAAUAAAUGAGUCUCAUCAUCCAAUUCAUUUCAUUCAAGGGAUCGUACUUUAAAAUCUUUUCAAGUUUUCGAUACUAAGACACUAAACAAUCAAUUCGGUACCAAUUUUGGGCGUCACGAGGGUGCUAACCCUUCCUCGUGCGUAACCGACUUCCGAACCUGUUUUCUCAAAAUUCGCAGACCUAAAAUCAUUUUCAAGGUGAUCCGAUCGCAUCUCAAAAAAGAUCGGUGGCGACUCCCAUUAUAUUUUCAAAGUCGAUCCCCCUUUUUUCUAAUUUAAAAAAUGGUUUUUACAUUUAUUAUAUACUAUUAUUUUGGAUUUAUCACGUAUGAUUAUUCUAGAAUUAUCAUCAAAAUUUUUAAAUUUUAUAUGUAUUAUUAUUUCAAAUUUAUUAUAUAUUAUUUAUUGUAAAUUAUCCAAUUCAUUUCAAAUUGUAGAUAUUAUUUGUAUUAAAUUGUACAUUCAUAUAUAUUAUUUGUUUUAAUUCAUGUAUUGUUUUAAACUUCGUUCAUAUACGUACUAUUUAUUUUGAAUUAUACAUAUUACUUAUUUUUUAUAUUACUUUUCUAUAUAAUGUAUAUUCUAAUUUUUCUUCAUACUUCAUUUGCUUAAAUAUUUUUGUAUAUUGUGUUUUAUUAGUUGUUUUAAACAAUUUAUUAAAUGAUUUAUUUCAAUUCAUUUCACGUAUUCAUUUUAUCUUAAAUUGAUUUGCAUAAUAGAUUUUUUUAGCCUAUAACUUCAUGUUGUUUUAUUUAUGUACCCUUUCUUUGGAAUUAAGUUUGUUUUAUAUAUUAUUUCGAGUUCGAUAAUUAUUCUACCCAUGUAUAUUAUUCCAUGUUCAGACAUUUACUUUUCAGUUCCGAACAUUACAUCAUAGUUAAAAUUUUCGAUUUAUUUGCCAAAAUUUGAUUAUUUCAUUUCUUUUCAUCUCAAAUAAAUCAAGUUUAUAUCAUUGUUAAUAUUGCAUUAAACCUUCGCUUUGAUCCAAUUUCGUAAAAAAGGGAAAAUGAAGUUUGCAAUAUGUCGUCUUUGGAACGAUGAGAAAUCGUGCUCUAACUUACGGGGUUUCGAUUUUCUCAUUGAACUAAAACGACUAAACAUUUUAGUUUUCAAAUGCACAAAGUUUCAAUAAAGAUUUUUUAAAAGGUUAGCUUAUGCUCGGGAAUUCAAACGUUGCAUCUUAACUUACGGGAUACGACAUCUUGUUGCCUCGGGAUGAGAAAUCCUUUUACAUUCGUUCAAAUCUAUCCAAACAUUGUUUUAAAAUAUGGCAUUAAUAAAAGGGGAAUCGUUUCUAAUCUUUUCAAAUUUUUUAUGUUAGACUUUAAGACAUUAAUAAAUCAAUUCGGUACCAAUUUUAGGCGUUACGAGGGUGCUAACCCUUCCUUGUGCGUAACCGACUCCCGAACCUAUUUUCUCAAAAUUCGCAGACCUAAAAUCGUUUUUAAGGUGAUCCGAUCACACUUCAAUUAAAUAUCGGUGGCAAGUCGACCCUGUUUUUUCAAAAUAAAAAUGGUUUCGACAUGAUGAAUGGCGUAAGCCAUUAUCUAGGUCUACUUAAUACGACGGCUUGGUUUUGUCGGCCGAAAGGAAAUUACCUUAUGGGUUUUGCUUCGCCCAAAUGCUAGCAAAGUCUUUGUACGCAUUUGUUUGAUUGGAAAAGUGAGAAAUAGAUGAACAUGGUAAGCACAAAUUCUAGACAUUACCAUAUCACCUAUAAAAUUUAGUUAUCUUUUUAAUUUCUUUUGGCGUAUUAUGAAAAAAAAAAAAAAAAGUAAAUUUCUAACAACGCCGUGAUUAACACGACUAUUGGCUGUAAUUUUCAAAGGACAUGAACCUUGAAGAGGGACAAGUGUAGUCUCUUGAUGAUAAAUGUGUUGACUGUCAACUUGCAAAACCCAGAUUACCAUAACAGAUGCAAAAUCUGAUCGGUGAACAUAAGAAAAUGGAGACCAUGGGAAAACUUCUAAUCCUGCUUACAGCUUUUUUAUGCCUCUACCUCUUCGUUGCUUUGCUCAAUGUUUUCUACAAGUAUUGGUGGAUACCUCAACGGGUACAGUUCAUCAUGAAUUCACAAGGAAUCAGAGGACCUCCUUAUGAAUUUAUCCAUGGAAACAACAAAGAAGCUGCCCAAAUGUCCAUGGAAGCAUCUACCAAACCUAUGGCCUUGACGCACGAUAUAUUUCCCAGAGUCGUGCCUCAUGUUUACUCCUGGAUCAACAAAUACGGUUAGAAUAUUUUUUUCUUUUUUCUUUUUUGGGUAGUAUUUUCUAACUAACCUCCACUUUCCAUGAAGAGAAAUCGUUUUCUUUCAGGGAAGACUUAUCUUAGUUGGAAUGGAAUUCGAGGUCAACUGCUAAUUUCAGACCCAGAUCUAGUCAAAGAGGUCCUUAAAAACAGUGACAAAGCUUUUCGAAAGCCAAAGAUUUCAUAUUUCUUCGACAAGCUAAUAGGCGAUGGGCUUGCUUCAACCGAACGUGAGAAAUGGGCAAGGCAAAGGAAACUGGCCAAUUAUGCCUUUCAUGGGGAGAGCUUAGAAGUAAAUCAUCUCUACCUUCUAAUCUAAUUAUUGUAGUGGGACAUUUACAAACUUGAUAAUUUUUUGCAGAAUAUGACUCCAGCAGUAGUUGCUAGCGUUGAAACCAUGCUUGAGAAAUGGAAAAGUAAGGAGGGCAAAGAGAUAGAAGUGUUCCAAGAGUUCAGAUUAUUGACUUCAGAAGUGAUAUCCAGAACCGCCUUUGGUAGCAGUUACUUGGAAGGGGAGAAGAUUUUUGACAUGCUGAUGAAGUUGACAGUAAUUGCGGGCAGAAAUAUUUUAAAAGCAAAGAUUCCCAUCAUCAGGUAACUUCAUCAAAUCUUUACUUUGUUAAUCAACAUACUUCAGCUUACAAUGGGUUGAUUUAAUCUGGUUGUCCUUUUCAGCAAGUUUUGGAAAUCUGCUGAUGAAAUUGAAUCAGAAAGAAUUGCCAAAAUGAUACAUGAUUCUGUGAUGAGGAUUGUUAAAAAAAGGGAAGAGAGAGUAGUGAACGGAGAAGCUGAUAACUUCGGUCGUGAUUUUCUGGGAUUACUUGUAAAUGCUUAUCAUGAGGCGGACCAGAAAAACAGGCUUUCGAUUCAAGAUAUGGUAGAUGAGUGCAAAACUUUUUAUUUUGCUGGGCAAGAAACAGUCAAUUCCUUGCUUGCAUGGGCAACUCUGCUUUUAGCAAUACACACCGAUUGGCAAGACAAAGCAAGAGCAGAGGUGAUUGAGGUCUUUGGUAAUCAAAAGCCAGAUUCUGAAGGGAUGGCCAAAUUAAAGACGGUAAGCAAACUAUACAAAUUCAAUAGCUUGAAAACUAGCACUGACCAUUUAUAUUGCCUUUUGGAUUUCUUUUUCUCCAACAGAUGACCAUGAUUAUCAAUGAAACUUUACGGCUCUAUCCUCCUUUAAAUCGCGUGAUAAGAGAAGUAGGAAGAGAAGUCCAAUUAGGAAAACUUGUCCUGCCUACUCAUUUAGAGGUCGACAUGCGAAUCAUAGCACUUCACCAUGACCCUGACUUAUGGGGAGAUGAUGUUAAUCUUUUCAAACCAGAGAGGUUUGCUGAAGGGAUAGCAAAAGCUACUAAGUACAAUGCAGCUGCAUUUAUGCCUUUUGGAUUGGGAUCUCGAUCUUGCGUUGGCAUGAGCUUUGCAAUCACUGAAGCGAAAACUGCACUUUCCAUGAUUCUGCAACGCUACACUGUCACCGUCUCCCCUACCUACGUUCACGCUCCUGUACCAAGUCUUACACUCAAGCCACAACAUGGGAUGCAGUUGUUGUUUCAUUCACUACAUUAUGAUGCUUAAAAUUCUAGGCUGUUGGUCUCCAAUAUAGUAAUAUAUAAUAAAAUGUGGAUGAUACUGUAUUUUGCAACCAUACGAUGAUAUAUGGUUUGGGGAUUUCAUGUUUUGGCAACAGGAUUAUAUGCUUUUUUUUUUUUUUGUUGAUAUUGUUAAAGGUUAAAAGGGUAUUACAGCAAACAUCGCCACCGCAGGAGCAGGCCCUACAGUCCUGUGAAUAACAUAAUUAGGUGUCUUUCUUCCAUUACUACUGCAGUAGUGAGGUUUUUAUUCCACUUAGUUCCAUUCUUCCGGAGUGUCUGCUUGAAACACACACUCCUGGAGCCGGCCAUUACAUUGCUUGUUUAGCUUUCAUGGAAGGCUCGAAGCUCAUUAGACCAGAAACAUUGUUCCUUUGCCUAUGUAUCUUUUUGACAUAUUCUCUUAAGGAAGAGCUACUUAUAUCAAGGCUCCAUCUUUCUGAGUUGCAAGGCAAAAGUCCGUUCUCCAUGAAAAACCUACCCAUUUCCACUAAGUCCCCGUUCUCCUUUGCUUCUCAGAUGACUUUUGCAAUAAAAAGUCCUUUUCCCUUAAAAGCAAUGGAGAAUAGACACCAUUUUAGAAUAAUUUUUAGCUUAAAAAAAGUAUUUUUUGGUAGAUGGAGAAGUUGAAAAUUUUAACUUUUCUUCAGCCAAAAGUGAUUUUGGGUGAUAAUUUCCUUUUUUAACCUAUCUUCUCCCAAAAAAGUUUUUUUCUCUGGUUCUUUGGAGCUAAACCUAUACCCAUUUUUUUCACAUUUUCUCUUUCAAAGUUCUUUCUUCUGGUUCUUUAUUCCUCUUCUGCCGGUGAGUUUCUUUUCUUCUUCUUCUUCUCUUUAAUUAUUCAUUAUACUUUAGUUUUUAGUUGUUUUCUGAUUGUUUGAUUUUUAUAGAAAUUUUACAGAAAUUAAUUGACUGAUUUUACAGAAAUUCUAUCUCCUUAAAAUCAUUUUAGAAAGUUUCAGAAGAUUACAGGAAACAAAGAAGCAAAAGAAACACAAAGCAAAAUAUUAUUAUUAGUAAUGCAUGCGAUUAGAAUCAUGAAAAGUAACUCUUCCAAAAGAAAAAAAAAGAGGGAAAAUUCUGGCUUAGUUGUAUGGUCAAAGCAAAAAAAAAAAAAAAAAUCCCCCAAAACUUCAAAGGAGUGUCAAACAUGAACUCUGAGAUGUGUAGGCCCUACCAUUUAAAAGUUCAAACAGGAAUCUUUGUUGACUUGGUUGGGACUUAAACAAACUAAAAGAUUCAAGUUAUGUUGCUUACAUUGAUUCUUUGAGUCAUUGUAAGCAUGGAGAUAAUCACUGAUCAAAUAAGGAGGCAUAAAUAGCACUUACGGUGUCAUUGUUGCCUCUUUUGCUUUACUGCUUUGCUCUGUUUUGUGCCUCUGCUGCUUUGCUCUGCUUUGCUUUACUGAUUGUUAGAUACCCAGGAGUGUUUAGAGUUAAACCUACAGGCCCAAACUAUUUUAGUUGAUGAAAAUAAAAGAAAUAUAGACUAAAUAUUUGAAUAUUUAAUAGAUUAAAUACUGAUUGUUUUACUGAUUAAAUACUAUUUUAGAGUUUACUGAUUACUUUACUGAUUGCUAGAUCCCCAAGAGUGCAUAUCAAUUUGGUUGCCGAUACAUAUUACGCUCUAUUCACUUCUAUAUGAUAGAUUGAAUAUUUAAAGGAGAGAAUAAUACUAAACUUAACUAUAGACUUUAAGUGCAUAUUGAGAGGAGACUGCUAUAAACAUGCAUUAGAGGUUGAUUAGAAAAAUAGAGCAAUUUUGAGUAAUGGAGAUCUAAGUCACAUAGAGAAUUCAAUUAAUAAUAGAUGAAGAGAGUUAUGGACCUGCUAAACUGUUAGGAUUGUCUUCAGAUCACUGAACCACCAAGCAAUUCUUAUUGAUCUUAUACCUGAAAAGACAUUAAUGAGUUCCAACCUGUCUCUACAGGCACAAGUAUGAACAAAUACAAAAAAAAAAAGGAAAAAAAAAAGGAAUUUUAAUUUAUACCAAUGCAUGCUGGGAAAUAUAUGCCUUCAUUCAAUAUAAGAGCUAAUAUACACAACCACUGCCUACAACUAUAUGCAUGGUCAAGCAAAUACUUUAUCAGUAUACAUACAUAGGCCCUAACAAUUUGAAGGCCAUACAUGCUAUAACCCACAUGCAGAGUGUUGUUCAUCACAAAAAGGAAUGCAAAUAGUAAAGUUUAAUACCAAUUUUUAACCCUUUGAAAUGUCGGUAACAUAUCAACAAAAGUGAACCUUCAACAAAAAAGAUGCCACUAACCUCUCCACAAAAUAGGAUGCAAUAGAACCAGUAACAGCAUGUGCAGGAGCUAGCUUUCCAAGCUUUUCCUCCAAACCUGGAGUUGUAGCCUGUAAUAGAAUUAAAGUUCAACAAUACCAUUAUUCAUUGAUUAACAUCGAAAAUAACAACCUUAACAUAAGAAAAAUCAAUGAAAAAAUUCAAAGAUUGAUAAAUAAACUACAAACCUCCACUGCAGCUUUAGACCAAGCCCUUUGCUUUAUAUCCAUCAAGUUCAUCCCUACACCAUCAGUUGUAUCAAUACAAGCAUAAGCCCCUAAGAAUAGACAUGCCAUGAAAGAGCUAACAAGAGAGAUCCUCUCAGUGUCCUCAUAAGUUUCUUGUUGUGUCUCAAAUAUCUUCCGAAUUUGUGGUCCUGUAUAUCUCUCAUAAGCAUGAGAACCAGUAAUUUUAGACAACUCCAAUGCACCACUGACAGCUUUCUUUAUUUCUAUACACUGAGCAGUUGUGCUGCAGUCCAUCCAUAUCGGUGAUUCCUUCGGUUGCUUAUAGGCUUUAUAGGCUUACAAGAGUUAGUGUCUUAUAUGCUUAUUGUUGUCUUAACAUACCAAGGAGUUACUCUUCCUACAUUAAAAUGCCUGUAAAUCACAAGGAAAUGUUGUUGAUUGAUAAGUCAUUCAUUAUGCCUCUCGUUUGUUGUUACACUGCUAAUUUUUUAUGCUUUUGUUUUCUGUAAUGUGUAAGCUAUUAAAACUACAAUAAUAACGAACGCAAAAUGAUUGAAUGAAAUACUGUAAAUCACAGUAUGCUUUUUUUUUAUGCUUUAUCCUUAAGUUGUUUCCAUGCACUGCCCUGCUUUGUUUCCUUUCUACCAAUUGAUUUCAUGACAUAAAUGUACUAUAAAAAUUAGUAUAUAUGAGUGAACUCAUUUGAUUUAUUUAUUUGACGUUUCCAAUUUUCCAUAAAUAUCAGUAGUUGCAUUUGUCUCCAAGUACACUUUAGGUUUUUUCAAUUAUAAAUUCUUUAUUCUAUGGAUGAGAAUGGAUUUUUGAGUGAAUUUAUUGAUAAAAUCAGUAGUUAGUACAAUAUCUUUUGUAAAUGAUUGAUUUGGUUUAAUUUAUUUCCCCUUGACCUUUUUGUGAUUCAAGUGAUAGCUUUGCUCCUGCAGUUCUGUCUUUGGUUCUAAGGUUUCAUUUGUGAAUGUUAUUUGAAUCAAUUUAAUAUAGUAGUAUGGUAUUUUUGUGUUCUGUUGCAGGUUCUUUUCACCUACAAUAAACUACUUGACUUCAAAAGGGCACAAUCUUUACCUACCCUUGGUUCUUGGACUUGACAAAGUAAAUCCCAGGUUUGUGAGCUUAUUACGUUUCUUUCAUUGCUUCUGCCUUGGAUUCUGAAUAGUUGGAUAUAGUUAAUAUUUUGAUACACAUGUAAACAAAUAUACUUAUGUGACAUUUGAUUUUCUUGACUGCUUAACUGGCUGAAACGGAUCUAUUCGUAUACACAAUAGAUGAGUACUUCGGCAGUUGAAGUUAGUGGUGAAAAAGUAAAAGCAAUGUGGGAUAAGAGAUUGACAGAAAUAUUUUGUGAUAUUUGUAUUAAAGAGAUACUAAAAGACAAUAGGCCUGGUACUCAUUUCACAAAAGAUGGAUGGUUGAAAAUAAUGACCAACUUUGAGAAAGAAACGGGCAAGUGUUUUUCACAAAGACAACUUAAAAAUAGGUGAGAUGCCCUAAAAAAAGAAUGGAAAGCUUGGAAGAAACUUAAAGGCGACGAUAAUGGUCUAGGGUGGAAUCCUAUAAAAAGAACCGUUGAUGCAUAAGAUGAUUGGUGGGAGAGUAGGAUACAAGUACAUUGAUAAUUCUAAAUAUUUUUUGUUUUUUUUUCUUAUUUAUGAGGUUAUUGAUAAUUACUGUUAUUAAACUAUCAUUUUAUAUGUAGGUUGUGCCUGAAGCUCAAAAAUUUAGAACAUCGGGCAUUGAUCCUGAAUUCAAAGGGAAGUUGGACCAAAUGUUAAUGGGGAUAGUUGCAACAUGUGGUAAAGCAUGGGCACCAGGUGAUAAAGUAUGGGCACCUUCUUCUGGUACACUCCGUAGUGAUUUUUUUGAGGAUGUUAACAACGAAAUACCUAAAGAGAAUGAAGAAGAAAAUAUCAGAAAUGAUGUUCACAUUUUAAAUGAUGUUCACAUUUCAAAUGAUGUUCAAUUUGAUGGAAACGAUCAAAAAAGAAAAAAUCCUGAGAUAUCAAUGUUGACACCAUUUUUUUGAUAAAACGGGAUCGACUUAGGUUUUAGAAACGAAAACGAAAACGGAAGUCUCCACCAAUCCUUUUUGAUGAGGUGUGAUCGGGUCACCUCGUAAAGUGGUUGUUUUUAAUAAACAAUUUGAUUUUUAUGAAAAACAACGAUUUUGGUCCACGAAAUUCAGAAAAAUGGGUUUGGGAGUCGAUUACGUACGAGGAAGGAUUAGCACCCUCGUAACGCCCAAAAUUGGUACCUAGUUGAUUAAUUAAUGUCUUAGUGUCGAAGAUUGAAAAUUUUAAAGAAAUUUAAAAUACGAUCUUUUAUUGAAAUGUUGAAAAUUUUCGGGAAAGGCAUAUUUCACGUUAAUCGAGAAAGAGAAUUAUAUCCAAUAAGUUAGGACAUAAUGUCUUGAAUUUCUGAUACGCGAAUGAAUACCAAAAAUCUGCUUAUUUAAAAGAUAUUUAGCUAUCUCGGUUUCAAAAAAGAGAUCAUGCCCAGUAAGUUAAGACAAGAUCUUUUCUUAAUUCCCGAGAUCAUUUAAAACUUUGUUUGAAAUGAUUCGCGUAUUUAGAUUUAUCGAGAAAAUUGAAACCCCGUAAGUUAGGGUAUAAUUUUUCGAAUAUCAAAAUACGAAAAAUAAUUUUUGAUAUAUCGAGUAAAGUAAAACACGAUGUCGUAAAAAAUGCGAAAACAAAUUAUAUAGGAUACGCAUACGAAACAAUAAUGAAUAUGAAAGUGUAACAUAAUACGAAUGAUAGUGACAAAAACAUGAUAAAAAGGACGAAUCAAUAGCAUGCCAAAUAACUAGUGUAUAAGCAAAAUAAAAGUGAAAUAUUUUUAAAAUAAUAAUGAAAGCGUGAAUAAAUAGAUAAUAAUUGAAUUAUAAUUAUAAAAAAAAAGCAAUAGGAUAUAUGUAUAUGUAUAUGUAUAUGUAUAUGUAUAUGUAUAUGUAUAUGUAUAUAAAGUAUAAGAUAUAAUAAGGAAUAUGCAAGCAUGUAUAUAUAUAUAUGAAAAUUAAAAAUAUGUAUAUAAAGAUAUAUAGAUAAAUAAGAUAUAAAGUAUAUAGAUGUGAAAAUGAAAAAAUACGUAUAUAAAGAUAUAUAUAUAUAUAUAUAUAUAUAGUAUAGAAUAUAAUAAGUAUAUANNNNNNNNNNNNNNNNNNNNNNNNNNNNNNNNNNNNNNNNNNNNNNNNNNNNNNNNNNNNNNNNNNNNNNNNNNNNNNNNNNNNNNNNNNNNNNNNNNNNCAAAAGUAAAGAAUAUUCAAUUGAAAACACAGUGAAAAGCGGAAGGAAUAGGGUAGCAAUUAUACCCUAGUCACAAAACACGCGGAUCCUUCAGGUAAUGGGUCGGGUCACGCGUGGGUCGCGCGAAACGGCGCCGUUUUGGCGCUGAGGCCCCCAUGUGAAACAACGACGUUUUUCAUUUGGUAUAAAUGUUUAAAAAAACCCUAAAAAAUUAGAUUCAUCCCCUUUUUUUAAAAAAAAAAAUCAGAGAGCCAAAGCUCUCUCUCAAACCCCAAAUCUGUCCACAGUUGCCGGCUGUCCGUCCAUCGGACUGGCGCCGUGGCCGGUGGCCGACGACGGACCAAAUGUGCUUUUGAGCCCCGUUUUCGACGAUUUGAAGGCCAAUCCUUCUCAACCAAGAAGAAAACCGAAAGAAAAGACCCUCACCCCCUUUUAAGGCCGAUUUUGACGACGGAGAGAGGAUCCCCGACAACGUGGCCGCGGGACAUCUCAGGUGAGCCUUUAUUUUUCCUUUUUAUCUUUGUAGGUAGAAAUAAAAAUAAAUAAACAAAAAAAAAGUCAAGAACAAAAUAAAUAGAAAUAACAACCGAAAAUCACCUUUGAAGUUUUGUUUUUUUUAUUUAUUUUCUAAUAUGUCUGUAGUAAAAAAAAUACAUUGACUUGGUGAUGGCUUUUUCUAGCCGAAAUUGAUACAACAUUUUUUCUUUGUUUGUUGCUUGCGUUUUUGUUCUUUUCUUGCAGGUGAUUGACGGGCGCAAGUGGCAGAGGCGAUGAAGUGACCGUGGCGGUGGCGGCAGGUCAAGUGUGAGAAGACCCUAGGUGCGGCGCACCUAGGGUUAGGGUUUCCAGACCCUUUUUCUUGCUUUGGGCCGUGGGAAAUUGUGUUGGGUUGUAUUUGGGUCCGUUUGGGUUAGGGGUAGAUUUGGGCUUACUUUUGGUUUGGGUUAUUUUGUGUUUUAUUUGUUUGUAAUGGCCCCGGGUGAAAUUGGGCUUCUACAGCUGCCCCUCUUUGCUCGUUGUCGUGUAACAAGAACAGAGCAAAGACUAAGAAAGACCAAUUUCGCCCGGUCUCGUUAAUGCUCUAGUGCUUCUCUUCUUCAAGUAGCCUCCUUCUAAUCCACUGUGUCUUGUUGCUUUGAUCUACUCCACUGCACUUCAGAGAGAUACGACUUGCAGCUUCAAUCCACUCUGCUGCAACUUCAGGGGGACGAGAUUCGUGGUUUUAGUCUGCCCUACUGCAACGUCAGGGAGAUAAGACUUGAUGUUUCAACCUGCUCCACUGUGACUCUAGGGAGAUAAGGUCUUAAUAUGAUAAGAUCCAUUAUCAACAGUCUGCUCCACUACGACUUUAGGGAGAUAAGACUUGUAGUCGGUCUUCAAUUUGCUCCACUACUUCUUCAUGGAAAUAAGACUUAUAUCUUCAACCUGCUCCACCGCAACUUCGGGGAGAUAAGGUUUGCUAUCUUCAGUCUGCUCCACUGUAACUUCAAGGAGAUAAGACUCGUAAUGUCAACCUGCCCAACUGCAACUUCAGGGAGAUGAAGUUUGAUAUGAUCUACUCUACUAUAACUUCAGAGAGAUACGAUCAGUAAUUUAUAACUUCAAUCUGUUCCACUGCAACUUUAGGGAGAUAAGAUUCGUAAUUUCAACCUGCCUCACUGCAACUUCAGGGAGAUGAUGUUUGAUAUGAUCUGCUGUACUAUAAUUUUAGAGAGAUAAGAUAUGUAGUUUAUAGCUUCAAUCUGUUCCACUGCAACUUCAGGGAAAUAAGACUCGCUAUCUUUAGUCUGUUCCACUGCAACUUCAGGAAGAUAAGACUCGUAAUUUCUAAUAAAGUCCGAUGUGAUCCGUUCUACUGCAACUUCAGAGAGAUAAGAUUCAUCAUUUUGACCCGCUCCACUGCAACUUCAGGGAGAUAGGACUUAUAUCUUCUACUUGCCCUACUGGAACUUUAGGGGGAUAAUGUUAGUAACUUCAACCUGCUCUACUGCAAUUUUAGAGAGAUAAGGUUUGUUAUUUCAAUCUACUCUACUGCAACUUCAGAGAGACAGGGUUUGUAAUUUAUAGCUUCCAUCUAUUUCACUACAACUUCAAUGGAAUAAGACUUGCUAUCUUCAGUCUACUCUACUGCAUCCUCAGCAAGAUAGAACUUGUGGCUCCAAUAAAGUCUGAUGCGAUCUGUUCUACUACAACUUCAGAGAGAUAAGAUCCAUCAUUUUAACCUGCUCCACUGCAACUUCAGGGAGAUAAGGUUUGUUAUCUUCAACCUACUCCGCUACUACUCAGGGAGAUAAGACUAGUGAUUUCGAUCUGCUUCACUGUCAGUACAGGAAGACAAGAUCUACAACCUUCGACCUACUUCACUGCUACUCAGGGAGAUAAGACUAGUGGCUUAAAUUUGCUUCCCUACUACCUUGGGAAGAUAAGAUUCGCCGUCUUCGAUCUGCUCCACUACUGCUUAGGGAGAUAGGAUCUGUAAUUUUCAACCUACUCUGCUACUGCUUAGGGAGAUAAGGCUAGUGCUUUCGAUCUGCUUCACUGCCAGUACAGAAAGACGAGAUCUGCUACUCUUAGUCUACUCCGCUGCAAACUCAGAGAGGUCAGGCUUGUGUCUUCGAUCUGCUUCACUGCCAGUACAGGAAGACGAGAUCUGCUGCUUUUAGUCUGCUCCGCUGCAAACUCAGGAAGGUUAGGCUUGUGUCUUCAAUCUGCUUCGCUGCCAGUACAGGAAGAUGAGAUCUACUGCUUUUAGUUUGUUCUGCUGCAAACUCAGGGAGGUCAGGCUUGUGUUUUCGAUCUGCUUCGCUGUCGGUACAGAAAGACGAGAUCUGCUGCUUUUAGUCCAUUCCUCUGUAAUUUCUGAGAGAUAGGACUUGAUAUGACGACUUCAAUUCAUCUCACUGCAACUUCAGGGGUAUGGGAAACUUCAUUAAUAUGUUCUUUGGGGAACAUGACCUGUAAAGUCCAUUUUAUAAACCUAUUUAUGCCUAAUGAUUAGGAUGUUAUGAUCAGAACGAAUCAGAUUCUCCUAACUAGGUGUGUGUGAAUUAUAUUUGCAUGAAUGCAGAAUGUUAUGAGAAUGAUCCCUUUUUUAAUGUUAGGGUUGUCAUUGCUCGUUAUUCAUUAAGGCUCCAUUACCAACACGUCAGAAUGCCAUCUUGUUUGGCUGGUAGCACUCAUCUCUUACUUAAACGGAUUGCCCCCACUAUAAUCUUCAAAGUUCAAUCUGUUGUAAUCUUCAAGGCUAAGUCCACGGUAAUUUUUGGACAUAAAAUUUGAGCCAUCUUCCUUCCACUGAGUAAAAGAUCUGGCUCUUUCUCAAUCCUCUCCCACUGUAAUUCAGGGAUACAGGAUCUGAAUCUCUUUGGUCUCUUACACCAUUCUUAGGGUGUCGUACCAAAUAUUUAUGCACAAUUGUAGAACUUUCUCUUCUAAUAAACCUCUUUUUAUCACUCUGUGAUCAUUACUCAUUUGUUCAUUGAAGUUUUGUCACCAGCACGACAUUUUUCGUUUUGUUCAAUCUAUGCUUAGACAACAAAAUCCGAAGGGAUAGUCUUAAUUUAGACUUUUCCUUCUUAGACAUUUCACCCUUUAAACUUGGUGUACUCUAAACAAUAGUCAUGUUUCAGGUUCCUGUAUUGUUUAGAAGCUUUCAGAGUAAUAUGCAAAACUUCUUUUGCUUGAAUAUUAACAGCCCAUUAAUCUUUAUUUCAAUGGAAAAUGCUUGAAAAGAUUAUCACAAUGGGAAAGAUGAAAUUUUAUUGAGAGUAGAGCUCUAAACAAAUAAAUUAAUCAGGAUAGAAAAUUUUGCUAAGAUUCAAAAUGAAUAAGAUGAAAAGGAUUAUUACAAUGGAUAAGAUGGAAUUUUAUUGAGAACAAAGCUCGAAAUAAAUAAAUAAUCAAGAUAGCAAAUUUUUCUAAGAUACGAAAUGAAUAAGAUGAAAACAGGUGCCCCAGAUAUCACAGUAUGAGCUUUUCUGCAUAAGCUUCUUGAGGACCAUUUUGAACUUGAUAUGUGUCUAGAAGUCCUAAAAGACUUUGUUGAUGUCCCAAGAUGUAGCGUCUCACCUUCUUGCUAAUUUAGAGAGGACAAGGCCACCGCAUGUCCCACCUUUGAUCAAAAUUUAAACUGCCCAUUCCUGGGUUUUCAAUUCAAAACCCCUUUGGUCUCAAGGUGCCCUUUGUGGGUUUUCACCUUGGCCUCUCAUUCUUCUUUUCUUUUCUUUUUCCUUUCUUUUUUCUUUUCUUUUUUUUAACAUUCUUUGAUUGAAUUCGCCCUCGUAGGAUCAGGUAAGUCAUUGCUAUCCUUUCUAGUCGAAAUCAACACUUCUCCAGAUAAAGCCUUCAACAUAAGGUUCUUUUCAGUUUGAUAUCCUCUUUCUUCUAAAGUUCUUUUUGUAUGGAGAGGAUUUUCUUCGAUAUUAGGUCUCCUUCAUAGAAUUCUCUAGGGCGAACCUUCUUUGGUGAGCUCACGUCUUUUUUUUGUGGAUUUGACCAAGAUAGAUAACUUUGAACACUUCUCUUCAAUCGAGAUCUGAUCCAACACUCGAAGAGAAGGAAUCUUGACCUCAAUGAGCAAAACUACGAUGAGCCAAUGUGUUGCCCCGGCAGUAGUUUUUCCUCUCAUUUUUGUUUUGUUUUGUUUUUUAUUUUUGUUUUUUUUACUCCCACUGCGCCGUGCAUUUUGGGGCAAAAUGUGUUAAUCUUGAACAGACUGUAAACUUAUGACAUUGUGCUGUUGUUCAAUUUUAGUGCAUUGUUAGAUGUGCUUCUUUUUGGCAUUUCAAAUUGACACGUGAUUUUUCAAAAAUUCGCAGACUGUUGACCUUGCGACAUUGGCAUAUGAAGCAGCUUUUGCCUACUUAGUGAGGUAAUUGAUGACCAAAAAGAUAACCGUCAAAAACCUUAGGUAAGAUCAGCCUUAUGACAUUUGUGUCCCACGUAGAGAAAGGGCAUGGCUUCUAUUGAUUCUGUGUAAAAUAGAAUCUUGUUAUCUCGUUUUUAACAAAUCAGGAGAUAAGUUACAAUCUCAGUUAUCUCCAAAGGCUUGAGGUUUAAUCUGGACACAUAUCUUGCUCAAAAGGAGGUUCUGAAUCAAUAGUAGUGUUGCUCAUAUCAUUGAUAUUUAGAGACCUGUUAUAGGACGAAAGUAGAUCCAAAGAAUAAAAGAAUCUAAAAAUAUUUAUCUGUAUCGUAUGAUUAUGAAAUGGAAAAAAUAAAAGAAUAUUUGCCCGAAGUGAGAAACAAAGAUGCAUUUUAUUGAAAUAAAGAUGUUGGACAUAAGCCUAUCUCACAAAAGGAUUCUUAUUACCCCUAGGCUUAGAGAAAUAAGUGUGUUUUGGACAUUACUCCGAAUUAGGUCUAAAAUAUACAGGGAUCUCUUUCACAGUCCCACUAUUCAAAACACUUCCAAGUCUGUUCUUUUCACCAACCCCCUUCUUGGAUAUGAUGUUAAUGCUUUGAUAGCCGGCGAUUAUGACCCUCGGUUGGCCCACAGUGACCAAUUUGGGAUAUCUUUCAUUAUAUAUACUCAAGUUGCUUACUUCAUUUUCUUUGUUCUUUAGGGUUGAUCCUCUGACGCUUUCUCCCGUAUCUAUCUUCCCACUUCUUAUGGCAUUUUCACUCAUCUUGCCAGACAUUACCAUAUCUGAUAAGCUCAUGGUAGCGCUUCCCAACAUGUGGUUAAUGAAUGGGGCUUUCAAAGUGUUGACGAAAAGCAUCGUGGUUUCUUUUUCUAGAAAAGGUGGUUGGACUUAUGUCGCUACCUCUCUCCAUCUUUGGGCAUAUUGCCUGAAGCUCUCACUUUGCUUCUUUUCCAAGUUCUGUAGUGUAAUUCUGUCAGGUGCCAUGUCUGUCACGUAACCAUACUGCUUCAUGAAAGCUCGUGCCAAGUCUUUCCAUGAGUGGAUAUUGGCACGGCUCAACUGGUUGUACCAUUUUACAGCUGACCCGAUCAGACUAUCUUGGAAGUAAUGAAUUAACAGUUGAUCGUUAUCAAUGUAUCCUAUCAUUUUUCGACAGAACAUCGUGAUGUGAGCUUCGAGACAACUGGUCCCAUUAUACUUUUCAAAUUCUAAAGUCUUGAAUUUCGGUGGGAGUACUAAAUCUGGGACCAAACUUAAAUCCUUGGCAUCAACCCCGCAAUGGUAAUCAACAUUCUCCAUUGCUUUUAGUUUUUCUUCCAACCACCUAUACCGAUCUUCGAGUUGCUUUGGUAGUUCUACCCUUACUUCUGCCAUUUCGUCUAACUCAGGAAUAACAAGAUUGGUUGGAUCAUUCUUUGGAUUAGAACCUGAGCCUGUCGGAUAGUUCAUUAGCGCCGAGGUACCGGCCUGAUAUCGUUGGGGUCUGUUAGUAGUGGGUGCCCCUUGUAGAUGCGCGUCGGGUUGGGCCUGGACGCCUAUUGGGGUGAAACCUGGGAGAUAGGCAGGGUCUUCAUAUUUAUCCCCAGAAUUGGCUACAGGGUUUUUCUUUUUAUCUCUAGCUGAGAGCUGUGCUAAUUGGCUCAUCAAGCUCCUUUGGGAUUUUUGCAUGUCUUGUUGGAUAUUUUCUAGUUGUUCUUGCAUCUGGGCUUGCACCUGUUCUUACAAUUGCUCUAAUCUCUCUAGUCUCUGAUCUAUUCCUUUAGUUUUUGCUCAGAUACUGUAAGGGUGUUGGUUUUCCAGAUUAGCUGAAAUAAUUUUACUCAAUUAGGGUCUUUUAAUGGUCCUUAAUGCACAUGAUGCCAUGUAAUGCGAAUGCAUGAAUGCAAAAAAGACGUUGACUCUGAUUUAAUUCUAUUUAAAAAACUUUACUAAAAAACAAAUUCCUUUACAUAAAGCGAAUGCAUGUAUGGCCUCGCCCUCAUAUUCCAAGAAACAACAUUGGUCUUCUUCUUUAUCUGAAUGUUUAAGAUAAAUAUUGCAAAUUUCCAAUGGAUGCCACUACUAACUCCUUCUUGCUUGAUUCUGGUUGUGAUCCAUCGUCUGCCCAUCCUCGUAAUGCUCAUCAGCUUCUUUAAGGAAGUCAGAAUGUCGGUGACUCUCAAAUAAUUAGCUUGAAUUUUUGGGCCACGAAGUAAAAUGAUGUACUCUUCCAUCACCUUUCUUUUGUCGUGUUUCUUGGAAUGUAUUCGGGCAGCCAUAUUAUCUUCCGCUUUAUCAAGAAAUCCGUUUUCCAUGACAAACUUUCUAAUUUAGUAAUCAAACUUGAAUCAACACCUUUUUCUAAGAUGAAAAUGCAAUGCAAUCAUAACCAAAACAAAACGAAACAGGUUAGUACAAAGCAAAAGCAAACAAGAAAGAUAGAGUACCUAUUCGGGUAUCCACUAAAGGUUUGGAGUGGCUCUACCUAGGUAGAUUCUUAUGGCUCACUACAUGUGGUUCGAUUCUAAAGUAAAGGUACCUGAACCAACAGAUUCCUCAAUCCUCACCUAUUAUAGGCUCAUACGGACUGAGUUCAGUUCAGGGGAAUACAUUUCCCUAUGGCCAUGUGGAGAUGAAAAUCUCACGAAGACAUAGGUACAGAUGUAUCCCGGAAGCGAUUCACUAUCCCAUGCGAAGGUGAAAACCUCACGAAGGCGUAGUUUCUCACUCCCACUUAAAAGGGUGUGACCAACGGUCAUGCAAUGCAAUGUGCAGAAAUAUAUAUCUAAACUCAAAAUAACACAGUAUUUAUAAAACCACAAUGAUGAAGAUCGUAAUAAAGAUGAAUGAAAUACAAUGAAAGGAUAGUAAAUUUAAAUCAAAUUCAAUUUUUGACAAAAAGACAGAAAGUAAUCAACACGUGGCUUGACUCUCUUAUUUUGGAUCCCCAGUGGAGUCGCCAAGCUGUUGACACCAUUUUUUUGAUAAAACGGGGUCGACUUGGGUUUUAGAAACAAAAACGGGAGUCGCCACCAAUCCUUUUUGAUGAGGUGUGAUCGGGUCACCUCGUAAAGUGGUUGUUUUUAAUAAAUAAUUUGAUUUUUAUGAAAACAAUGAUUUUGGUCCACGAAAUUCAGAAAAAUGGGUUCGGGAGUCGAUUACGUCGAGGAAGGAUUAGCACCCUCGUAACGCCCAAAAUUGGUACCUAGUUGAUUAAUUAAUGUCUUAGUGUCGAAGAUUGAAAAUUUUAAAGAAAUUUAAAAUACGAUCUUUUAUUGAAAUGUUGAAAAUUUUCGGGAAAGGCAUAUUUCACGUUGAUCGAGAAAGAGAAUUAUAUCCAAUAAGUUAGGACACAAUGUCUUGAAUUUCUGAUACGUGAAUGAAUACCAAAAAUUUGCUUAUUUAAAAGAUAUUUAGCUAUCUCGGUUUUAAAAAAGAGAUCAUGCCCAGUAAGUUAAGACACGAUCUUUUCUUAAUUCCCGAGAUCAUUUAAAAAUUUGUUUGAAAUGAUUCGCGUAUUUAGAUUUAUCGAGAAAAUUGAAACCCCGUAAGUUAGGGUACGAUUUUUCGAAUAUCAAAAUACAAAAAAAAAAUUUUGAUAUAUCGAGUAAAGUAAAACACGAUGUCGUAAAAAAUGCGAAAACAAAUUAUAUAGGAUACGCAUACGAAACAAUAAUAAAUACGAAAGUGUAACAUAAUACGAAUGAUAGUGACAAAAACAGGAUAAAAAAGGACGAAUCAAUAGCAUGCCAAAUAACGAGUGUAUAAGCAAAAUAAAAGUGAAACAUUUUUAAAAUAAUAAUGAAAGCGUGAAUAAAUAGAUAAUAAUUGAAUUAUAAUUAUAAAAAAAGCAAUAGGAUAUAUGUAUAUGUAUAUAAAGUAUAAGAUAUAAUAAGGAAUAUGCAAGCAUGUAUAUAUAUAUAUAUAUAUAUGAAAAUUAAAAAUAUGUAUAUAAAGAUAUAUAGAUAAAUAAGAUAUAAAGUAUAUAGAUGUGAAAAUGAAAAAAUACGUACAUAAAGAUAUAUAUAUAUAUAUGAUAAGAUAUAAAGUAUAUAUAUAUAAAAAAAAUUAUAGACGUAUAUAUAUAUAUUAUAAAAAUGUAUGAUGGAUAUGGAUAUAUAUGUAUGUAUAACAAAACGUAUGUGUGUGUAUAUAUAUAUAGAUAACAAAAAUUUGAAAUUAAAAGGACAUAGUUGAGUAAAUAGUAAUAAUAAUAUUUAUAAUAAUAUAAUAUAAUAGUAAUAAUAAUAUGUAAAAUGAUCAAUUUAACAAUAAAUAACUAAAAUACCAAAUAAAGGGCUAGAUUAAAAACUAGGCUAGAAUAUGGGGUCAAAUCGCUAAUAAAAUAAAAGAGGGGACCUUCAUGAACGCGCACAUAACAUGGAGGGACUAAAAUGGAAAUUUUUCCUUCUCCUCCAAAACGCAUCGUUCCGGGAGGGACCGAAUUAAAAACGCAAAGAAAAAUGGGGUAAAAUUGCAAAAGUAAAGAAUAUUCAAUUGAAAACACAGAGAAAAGCAGAAGGACUAGGGUAGCAAUUAUACCCUAGUCACAAAACACACGGAUCCUCCAAGUAAUGGGUCGGGUCACACCCGGGUCGCGCGAAACGGCGCCGUUUUGGCGCUGAGGCCCCCAUGUGAAACAACGACGUUUUUCAUUUGGUAUAAAUGUUUAAAAAAACCCUAAAAAAUUAGAUUCAUCCCCCUUUUUUUAAAAAAAUUUCAAAGAGCCAAAGCUCUCUCUUAAACCCCAAAUCAGUCCAUGGUUGCCGGCCGUCCGUCCAUCGGACUGGCGCCGUGGCCGGUGGCCGAUGACGGACCAAAUGUGCUUUUGAGCCCCAUUUUCGACGAUUUGAAGGCCAAUCCUUCUCAACCAAGAAGAAAGCCGAAAGAAAAGACCCUCACCCACCUUUUAAGGCUGAUUUCGACGACGGAGAGAGAAUCUCCGACGACGUGGCCGCGGGACAUCUCAGGUGAGCCUUUCUUUUUCCUUUUUAUCUUUGUAGGUAGAAAUAAAAAUAAAUAAACAAAAAAAACUAAAGAACAAAAUAAAUAGAAAUAACAACCGAAAAUCACCUUUGAAGUUUUGUUUUUUUUUUUUUCUAAUAUGUCUAUAGUAAAAAAAAUACAUUGACUUGGUGAUGGCUUUUUCUAGCCGAAAUUGAUACAACAUUUUUUCUUUGUUUGCUGCUUGCGUUUUUGUUCUUUUCUUGCAGGUGAUUGACGGGCGCAAGUGGCAGAGACGGUGAAGUGACCGUGGCGGUGGCGGCAGGUCAAGGGUCAGAAGACCCUAGGUGCGGCGCACCUAGGGUUAGGGUUUCCAGACCCUUUUUCUUGCUUUGGGCCAUUUGGGCCGUGGGAAAUUGUGUUGGGUUGUAUUUGGGUCCGUUUGGGUUAGGGGUAGAUUUGGGCUUAUUUUAGGUUUGAGUUAUUUUGUGUUUUAUUUGUUUGUAAUGGGCCCGGGUGAAAUUGGGCUUCUACAAUCAAGUUCACAUUUUAAAACUAGAAGAAAGAAAUCCUCAAAGCACAUUAGAGGGGCUGCAAGAUUGUCCAGUCAAAUAGACAAAUUAUGCAAUGCAGCUGACAAUAUGAGUCAAGCCACAUCUAGUUUGACUCCUAUUAUGGAUCCAUAUGGUAUUCCACAAGCAGAUAAAAUGCUUGACAACAUGUCGAAAGAAGUUCCAAAAGCUAGUCCGCUAUACUUUUUCGCACUUAAAUUAUUGCUCAAGAAGGACAAGUGAAUUAUGUUUUUAUCAAUUAAUCCCAAGAUUAGAGCUUUGUGGCUUAAGACGGAAAUGGAGGAUAGUUGAAAAUUUUCUGAUCUUCUAGGGUUCAGAGAUAUCUAUUAUGUGACUAAACAACAAUGCUAAACUAGUUUUAUCAAUAGUUAUUUAUGUUUGGUUUUUGGAUAUUGAAUUUAUGUUCUACUUAUUUAUAUGUAAUCUAGUUUUAUCAAUGGUCGUUUAUGUUUGGUUUUUGGAUAUUGAAUUUAUGUUCUACUUAUUUAUGUAUAAUCUAGUUUUAUUAAUAGUUGUUUAUGUUUGGUCUUUGGAUAUUGAAUUUAUGUUCUACUUAUUUAUACUAAAUUAGUUUUAUCAAUAGUUGUUUAUAUAUGAUUUUGGAUAUAAAAUUUAUUCAUAGGUGAUAAGUAUAGUUAAGGAUUACAGCGGUGAUGAAAGUGAUGAUGAAAGGGAAAAGAAAGAGAUUUUACAACGCAUGGAAUGUUUUAACCAAUUAUUUGUUGUUGCAUCUUAUUCCUUGCAAUUAUAUUACGAGAAGUAUAUAUUGAGGCAACCAUGCAUGGAUUCUAAACAGUCAGGUGAGACAUGGAUCCGAGAGAUUCUUGACUGUCACAAAUCACGUUGUAUGAUUAAUUCACUACACCAAAACAGGAUUUUAGCGGCACUUUUAGUGGCGCUUGAACAAAAAAUGCUGGUAAAAAUCAAGCAUUAGCAGCGCUUUAUGGAAAUCGCCACUAAAAACCAAAGCCCAACGGUGUCGUUUUCUUACCUUUCGGGGCUUUAGCGGGUUUUUUGAAAAUGCGUCGCUAAUGCUCGGUGUUUUAGCGGCGUUUUUUAAAAGCGCCGCUAAUGCUAGGGCCUUUAGCGGCGUUUUUGAAAAAGCGCGGCUAAAAACAUUUUAUCUUAUUUGGUUUAUUUAUAUAAUUAAAUAAGAUUAAAUUUAAAUCUAAUUGAAUAUUUAAAAUCUUCAAAAAAAAUAAUGACACGUAGAAAUAAUUUGAAAUAAAAUAUCUGGAAAAAUUAAAAUACUAUUAUUUAAAAUAAUUUUAAAUUUUUUGGGUACAUGAUUACUGAUUUUUUUUAAUUUAUAUAUUAAAAAAUUUCUUAUAUAAUCGUAAAAGAGAUGGUAUUAAUUUUAAAAUAUUGAAUUAAUUAUCACUAUAGUUUAGGGUUUUUGGUUCAGGGUAUAUGAUUUAUUUAAAAUUUAAGGCCAGUUUAAAAGUUACUAUUUUAAGGUUUAGGGAGUAUGGAUUUAGGAAUUAUGGAUUAGGGAUUAUGGUUUAGGGGUUGGGGUUUAAGGUGUAGGGGUUAGGAAUUUAGAGGUUUAGGAGUUAGACGUUAGGGGUUGAGAGUUAAGGAUUCAAGGUUUAGGGAUUUAGGGGCCAAGUUAGGGGUUUGUGUUUAGAUUAAUUUUUUUAAUUUAUAUUUUAAAUAUGUUCUUAUAUAAUUGUAAAAGAGAUAAUAAAUUUGUUUAGGGUUUUUAGUUUAGGGUAUAUGAUUAAUUUAAGAUUUAAGGCCGGUUUAGGAGUUCAUAUUUUAAGGUUUAGGGAGUAUGAAUUUAGAGAUUAUGAAUUAGGGAUUAUGGUUUAAGGGUUUGGAUUUAAGGUUUAGGGGUUAGGGGUUUAAGGGUUAGACGUUAGGGGUUAAGAGUUAGGGAUUUAAGGUUUAGGGAUUCAAGGGUCGAGUUAAUGUUUUGGGUUUAGAUUAAUUUUUUUAAUUUAUAUUUUAAAUAUGUUAUUAUAUAAUUUUAAAAGAGAUAAUAAUAAAUUAAAUAUAUUGAAAUUAUGAGUGUAGUUUAAAUUAUUUAAGAGAUAUAUAAUAGAUAGAUUUUAUAUGUAUUGAAUGGUUAAUUUAGGGUUUAAGGUUAAUGUUUACUUGAGAUUUGUUAAAUGAUAAAAUUUUAUAUAAUUAAUUAAUACUUUUAUAUUUAAAAAAAUUUAAUUUAAACCAUUUGAUAUAUUUAAAUAUUAGUUUAAAUAGAAUUAAUAAAUAAAUUAAAAAAAUAAUAGAUUGAUAUGGAUAUUUAGGUACAAUUAUUUAUUUUGGAGAGGAUCAAAUUAUAAAAAAUAAAAUUAAAAUACAAAAAUAAAAUAAUUUUGUUCAAAAUGAAAAUUUUUUACACACUUUUUAUAAAAACACCGCAAAAAAUAAAUAAUAGCCCCAAAAUUUAACUUUAAAAAUGCUACAAAAAUUAUUUCACUUUAAAAAAUCGCGCCAUUUUACCCCAAAUUUCCCCCUGAAAUCCCUAAUCUUCCCAUGUCCGACAAUAUUUUCUCAGCUGCCACACUCCAACAAAUACUCUGCACUCCCAUGGCUGAAAUAACAACCCAAAACCUUUUUAUUACAGCGCCAACAAAGCUUUGCUCUUUAUCCAUCUAUCAAAGAACACACUACUCUGCAUCAUACACUGACGAAAAGAAAAAAUAUGGGUUUUGAGAAGGGAGCUUCAUUGUUGGAAGAUUUGGUAGAAAAAGCUGGAGGCUGUGCUGUGAUGGAUGGGGGUUUUGCUACUCAGCUUGAGAGUCAUGGUGCUUCCAUUAAUGACCCACUUUGGAGCGCUCUUUGCUUGAUCAAAGACCCUCACCUUAUCAAGCAGGUACCUUUCGGUCUUCUUUCUCAUUCAGCUUUGUUGGAAAAUAUGUACAUUGCUGUCCUGCAAAUGACUCCAUGUCAAAAACAGGGUAUAAAGUUUGAGACUUGGUUUUAGAUUUUGAAUCAACGUGGAGUGUUCAUAUGUGCAGGUUCAUUUGGAGCAUUUGGAGGCUGGUGCAGAUAUCUUAGUUACUUCAUCUUACUAGGUUUGUUUAUUAGUGUUUUUCAGAUUCAGCCGAAUGACUUGAUUUGUUAGGCUAAUGUGUGAUCUUCUGCCUUUCAUAUAUUCACAAUAUGGAUAUGGUGAAAAGGAUAGGAGCUAAAUGCUUCCUUUUUCUAUGCAAUAGGUCCACCACUUUCUUGUGAAAAGUCAUGGAAAAUAUUCUGAUUUUUCCCUAAGUUUGGCUUAUUAAUGAACCAGACGGAAAAUAAUGUAGUUAUCAUCUAUAUAUGUUCAUCUGCAAUGAUUGAUUCCUUGGAAACAAUCAACAUAUCUUUGUAGAAACUUGCCUACCUUCAUAUUAGGAAGAGUAAUUUAUUUGAGAUUGUAUGGUAAAUGAUAAACCCAAUUUUAAUUACAAUUAUUCACACAUUCCAGAUUUUUUAAUUGAUUUGAAUCGAGCAAUUAGACAUAAAAGAGUAAUAUGGAUUUAAAAAAGAAGAAGCAAAUAUUGCAAUGAUAGUGUUUUCAUAUUUAAUAUUAUUUAUAAUUUUUUAAAAUAAGUUAAUCCUAGAAUAAAACUAUAAACCUCAUGUAUAAUGGUACCUGAACCUAAAUCAUCAAAGACCCAAUCUUAAGCAGCAGCUCAAAACUCGACAGAGGCUAAGGAUGAUGCUGCCUCUGGAGAGGUUGCACAAGCUGAAUAAGGAUGGUGGAGUUAAUAAUGCCACAGGAGCAGCAGUUGGUAGAGGCUUUAUACGGGAUUCAUCGGGCUGCUGGGUUAUGGGGUACAGUUGGAGUAUUGGUUGCUGCUUGAUGUUGCUAGCUGAGCAUUGAGAGCUAUAUGACGGCUUGUCUGUGCCUUGAGAUGCGGGUAUUCGGUGCUGGUGGUGGAAUCUGAUAGUCGGGCUGCGGUGGACCUUGUCACGGAUGUUACCAGGAAGGAGAUGUUGGAGCUCGUAAUGGCUGUUCGUGGCCUUUUGUCUUAGUCGUGGUGGGUAUUGGUGCGUCAUGUUCUGCGAGGUGCAAAUGCGGCAGCGGAUUUUGUCACCAAGCUCGCUAGGGAUUGCCCAUUGGGUUUGCAGCUGGUUCGGCACCCUCCUCCAUUUGUCAAACUCAUGGUUGAAUGGGAAGAGUAGGCCACCUAUUGUCAAUGACUGUUAACUUUGGUUGGCUUUUAGCCUAGGUUCAUUUUUGUUUUCAAAAAAAAAAAAAUUCAAUCUCAAUUUUAUCAUUCAAUCAAAAUCUUUAUAUAUAUAUAUGUAUAUAUUUUAUAGAUAUUUUUUUUACAUAAACUUUUUUUUAUCUACGUUUGUGGAUAUACAACAAUAAAAACCUGAUACUUUUUGAGCAUGCUUGUUAAGAUUCCAAUUGUGUAAGGAACCGAGAAGGGCCAGUGCAAAGUACAGGUGAAAGGAUUUCGGUCUGGUCCCAACUAGUUCGGGGUGGGUUAAACUCAAUACUGAUGGUACUGUUUCUGUAGGUGGUCUUAAGUCCGGGGUUGCUGGUUUGAUUAGGAAUGCGUUGGGAAAUGGGAAGUUGGCUAUAACAGAUUCAUUGGUGUGAGCAACGUUCUUGAAGUAGAACUGCAUGUUGUUUUGAAUGGCUUGAAGAUUGCCUGGGACAAAGGCUUUUAGCAAAUACUGUUGGAAUGUGAUAACCUUCAUAUUAUUAGCUCCUCUUAUUGGUCGAGGCAAUGAUGCAUUUAGCAAAGUUGAGGAAUUAAGUAGAACGAACUGGGUAGUGCAUGUUUCGUAUAUUGGAAGGAUGGUAAUGUGGCUAAAAUAGCUCUAACAGAUAGACCUGGGUUGCAAGUACCUUUAGACCCUUUUUCUGUUGUUCUUGACGUGUGGAGUGAUGAUGUUUCAGGCCUCUCUAGCUAUACAAAUGCUCAACACUUUUCCUUUGUAUUUUGUUGGCUUCACUACACCAAAACAGGCUUUUAGAAGCAGGUCCAGGUUUGCUAGCCUUUGAGACCAUUCCCAAUAAACUUGAAGCUCAGGUUUGUUCUUCCUCAUGUAUACUUUACAUGUAGGAAGUUACAUUCUUCAUUAGCUUUUCAAGUUUCUAGUGAUCACUGAUCCAUUCGUAAUCAAAGCCGAGCAGGGACGAGUGGCGCAUGUAUAAUGCACACUGGCUGCAAAGGUUAAUUAGCAAUCGUUGUGGUUCUUCUGCCUUUUGCGCCUCUCCCUUUUUUUUUGUUUUUUGGCUUUCUUGGUUCUCAGUUUCUCAAUUCUAUCCACAGUUGUAUGGGGAAACCAAAGCACUACCGACCUCCUGCAAGUUCUUUCGAACUUUAUUGCUUUCAAAUUGGCGGUUUAGAUUUUCAAAUUUGACUUAUUGUAAGGAUUUUUUGCUCAUAAUUUAUGGUGAAAUUUUACAGGGAAAGAAAAAGGAAGGAAAUGCUGCGAGAUAUGUGACGAGGUCACAAGCUAUUAAAAUCCUUCAAGUUAGCCUUUCGGAUUUUAGGUUCAUCUCUUCUUUCUCACUUUUAUUAAUUAUUAUUAUUUAAGCUUCCUUUAUUUGCCUUCUUUUAUCAUUUUUUUCAUGUUGUUUUUAGCUUCGAAGAUUAAUUAGCUAAUAAUUUGAAACUAUUGAGCUUCGUUAAGCUGAGAUUAGUUCAUCAAGUAGCAGUUAAUUGCUACUUUUGCUAACUGUUUUUUGCUCACUGAAGCAAAGAGAAGAAGUGUGUAUGGAAAAUAUUCUUAUUGCUAGCUUUUUACUUCAGCAUGAGUUUAUGACUAUGUUUUAAUUGAUAUGAUUUUGUUAUUAUUAUUAUUAUAAAAAAUCGAGGAUUUUAGUAAGAAAACAUAUAAAAAAAAAGCCUCAACCAAAUGAAACGCGUAUUGAUGGGGUUUGUUAUUUUUUAUUAAAUAUGGUUGGCUUCCUUUUUGCUUUAAUGGAUUUAAUACUGCAGGAAACUAUGCAUCCACAAAAGAGUAUUUCCGAGAGAGCCAAAGAAGAAAGUGAAAGGAAAUCAUCAUACUUACUGUCACUUGAAGGAUGUCAUGUACAUUCUUCAUGAUCCACUACUUGAGAAGUUUAGAGAAAUAAGGGCAUAUCAAAGGAAGAUAAAGAAAGCUAAGGCUAAAAAGAAGGAUGAGUUAGCAAAGCUUCUUCUAUCUCGUGCACCUUCUUACAGACUUGAUAUGGUCAUCCGCGAUAGGUUUGUGAAACAAUCUUUGUAUGUUUUAUUUCCUCUCGUUGCUAGUUGUAUCAAAUCUGUAAAACUUUUGUAUUAAAACUUUUAUAGUAAGCAGCAACAUAACUAAAUCACCUUAUGCUGAUAAUGAGAAGAUUUAUUGUUCCUAUUCCCUUGGCUCCAAUUUUUUUGGUUCAAAACUUGAUGUCUAAGUGCAUGCUUGAGUAUUUGGUAAUCAAUCCUGUGAAAUAGUUUCUAGUUAAGGUGGCAUAGAAGCAUAUAGUCCAGGCAUAGUCUGCUCUUACAAUUUAUGAUUGUUUUUUGGUUUCUCCUCUCCACAAACUGUCUAAUGUAGUUGGCAGAAUGAGAUGAUGUUAUUUAUGCCUAUACAUGCAUUUCUCUGUGGAUGGGUAACUUAUAUCUUUGAUUUGAGGCAUAGUUUGAUGACAGCAUAACUUAUUGCUGAAGUUAUACAGCCACGUUGUUUGCAUGCUGAUGACCAGUUUUGACAUUUAAGAUUUCAGCAUAACAUAAUUGUUUGUUAUAUAAUUUUUGUUUUAGCCUUAAUGGCUAUAUAUAAUUUUUAUUUUUAACAUCUCUAUUGUUUAUCAAGUUUGUCGGUUUAUCUGUUCAUUUGGUUUUGCAUCCUUUAGAUAUUGAAGGUGUUGUAGAGGAUUCAAUCUCUUCAAGCUGGAAAAGCCAAGGCUUAGCACUUCUUCAAGUGGAGUGUUUUUUAAUUUUUCAUUCCAUGGUCGUUUAUCUUAGUCGGAACUUGAAUUUGGUGUUAUUGAAACAGGGUUUUGUAGUUACCUUGUGUACUAGCUUCUUUAACCAUGAUUGUUAAUCAUUACGAGUUUUGUAAUUUCUUUUAUAUUUGGCCGAGUUAAUAGAGAUCAGAUGAGCUGUGAGGUAGAUUGCUCAUUUAUUUAAACAUAAUAUUUUAAUUCUAAAUUUAAAUUCAUUAAUUUUUAUAUUUAGCUUUAAAGUUAAAAUUUUAAUAGAAAUUUUAAUUUAAUUAAUUUUUUUAUCCUUAAAAGUAUAUAGUUUAAAGUUUAAAUUUCAAAAAUAAAAUAAAAUAUAAUAUUUAUCAUAGGAAUAAAUAUUAUUUAAUUAAAAUAUAUUUUUUAAAAUUCAUAUUUUUAGCGGCGUUUGUGAAAAAGCGCCGCUAAAAUUCAUUCUUUAUAGCGAUGUUUGUGGUAGAAGCGCAGUUAAAGGUCAUGGUCUUUAGCGGCAUUUUUGGUAGAAGCAUCGCUAAAGGUCAUGAUCUUUAGCGGCGUUUGUGGUAGAAGCGUUACUAAACGUCAUAAUCUUUAGCGGCGUUUGUGAUAGAAGUGCCACUAAAGGCCAUGAUCAUUAGCGGCGUUUUUUCACAUAAACGUCGCUAAAGUUAGCGACGUUGUCUACAGCGACACUUUUUGCGGUGCUUAUUAAAGCGCCGCUAAAAGUUUAUUUUGCUGUAGUGAUUUUAGGAUGUCUAAAAUGGUAUUCCCAAGUUUGUUGAGAGUUUUGGAGACAAUAUACAACUUGCAAACUUCAAGAAACAUAUCUUCUAGUGAAAUGUUGGGAAUUUUUUUAUACAUCUUGGGCACCGGUGCAAAAGGUUCCCAAUGUCGAGAAAGAUUUCAAAGGUUUGGAUCAACAAUAAGUUGACACUUUGCAAUUGUGCUUGAGGAAGUUUCAAGGAUGGCCACUGAUCUAAUUGCCCCCGAAGAUCUUUUUUUUAGCUCAAUACCCGAAUAAAUACGUAAUGAUUCUAGAUAUAUGCUCCAUUUUAAGGUCAAAAUAUUAUUUUAUAUUAUUAUAUUUUAAUAUAUUUGGUCGACUAAAAAUAUGCACGAGAGUAAUAUGAUUAUUUGUUCAGGACUGCAUAGGUGCAAUUGAUGGUACUCACAUUGCCACUAUUCUUCCAGCAAAUGAACAAAUUCCCUAUAUUGGAAGAAAAUGUAUCCCGACUCAAAAUUUUAUGGCAGUAUGUGAUUUUAAUAUGUGUUUCAUCUUUGUCAUGGUUGGAUGGAAAGAAUCGACACAUGACACUAGAAUAUUUCUUGAUGCAAUUUGAGAUCCAAAAUACAAAUUUUCGCACCCACCAAAUGGUUAGAUAUUUUAUUUAUAUGUGCUUUUUUAAAUAAUAAAGUAUAAGUUCUUUAAUUGAUAAUUUUUAUAAAAAAAAUUCUUGAAUUAAUUGUUUGUUAUAUUAUGACUUGUAGGAAAAUAUUAUCUUGUUGAUUCUGGAUAUCCUCAAAUGAAAAGUUAUCUUGGACCAUAUAGAGGUCAGCGAUAUCAUUUACCUGACUUUCGUAGAGGUAGACCAGUAUCUGGUAAAGAAGAGAUAUUCAAUCAUUCACAUUCAUCAUUACGUAGUGUGAUUGAACGAACUUUUGGUGUUUUGAAAAAAAUGGGUUAUUUUAAGGGAUAUGCCAAGUUAUAGUUUUGAAAAGCAAACGAUGAUCGUUGUUGCUACAAUGACGAUACACAAUUUUAUCCGAAAACAUGUCGGUCGAACUGAUGCAGAUUUUAUGAAAUACGAAGAUAUUAACUGGGCAUAUGAGAAUAUUAUUGAUUCAGAAAAUGCACAUGGUCGAGAAAGUGAUGAUGAUGACGACAACAAUGAUGAUGGUGAUGACAGUGAAUCAAACAAUUCAAGUGGUUUUGAAAUGGAAUUAACAAGAGAUGCUAUAACUUCUAGUUUAAUGAAUUCACUUUAAAUUGUAAAUGCUAUUGUAAAAUUUUUAGUAUUUAUAUUUGGUAUAUAAAUAUUAUCCCUUUUUAAAACUUUAAUCCAAAUAUAUGUGAUAUUUUAAUUUUUUAGGUUUAUGUUUUCUAUGUUAUGUUAAUAUCUAAUAUGAGUUAUAUAUUCAAAUACAUUUUAAAAUAAAAUAAUACAAAUGUGUCAAUAUCUAAUUACAAAUAUUUAAUUAUUAUAUUUAAAUAUUUAAAUAUAGUUUGUAUAUUCUAAUUAUAUUUAAUAAAUAAUUAAUAUUAAUUACUUAGAAAUAUUUAAAAUUAAUAUUAUAUACUAAAAUAUUAACAAUAAAUUAUAAUAAAUUAUUUUUUAUAUCUUUGCUAAAAUAUCAUAAUAUUAACUAAUUUGAACAUUAUUUAAAUACAUAUUUGUUACUUUAUAAUAUCAUUUCUAAAAUGGACAUUUUAUUCUUCAAAAGCACUUUUUGACAGCAAUAUCAAACACUCAAAAUUUUCAAAAGUACUUCUCAAAAGUACUUUUCCACAGCACUUUUCCAAAGCAAUGAAGAACUGGCCCAAAAGCACACUAGCUUUCGCCGUCUCAUCCGCAAAAAAACCUAAAAUGAUACACCAGAAACUCCCUCAAGACAGACAGAGCCAAGUCACUUUCUCGCUAAUCCCCAUCGAACCCUCCAAUUAAGCAAAGCCAUUUCAUAUUUCAACCCAGUGGGCACCACAAUUGCCUUACAAAAUUUACAAACUAAAAUGCUAAAAGUAAUCCAGAAAAAUACACAGCCCAAGCUCCAAAAUGCAAGAAAGUCCAUUUAAAAUAUGAGCCAAAUUUAGAUUUCAGUUUAAAAACUUGAAUCUAAUUCGUUUUUAAUUUUGUAAUAUAGUAUAUUCACUACAAGAAAAAUAUGAAUUGUCAACAUUAAAAUUUAUUGCUAAAUGUUGUAUUACCAUUACUAAGAGUUUAUUGCAACAACAAAAAAAUCGUUGCGAGGUCGUUGUGUAUACCUCUAUUGUACAAAAUAUGCACAACGAUUUUACAAAUUGAAAAGUCGUUUUAAUUAUAUAUAUUGCAACAACUUUUUUCAUUUUAAAAUAUAUAUUUUUUGUAACGACUUAAUUUAUUUGUAUAAAAAUGUUUUAGUUAUAGUAAAAUCUGUUAUAAUAUUUUUAACACAACCAUAAUACUUUAGUUACAAAAACUAUUACCUAACAAUAAUAUAUUGGUUGUAAUAUAAAAUUUGCAACAACUGUAAAUUAAAAUGCUAAGUUUUGUACGUAACAAUAAUAAUAUUGAUAUGUAAUUGUAUUACAUUACUCAAUGAUUAUAUGUCAUUGCCAAAAAAAUAUUUUAAUAACCAUAAAAUGUGGUUGCCAAAUCAUUUACUUAAGAACAAUACUACUGAUUACUAAAUAUUAUUCUGCAACUAUUUUAAUUUAUUGUGUACUACAUUGCUGUAACACCCCUAAUGUAACACCUCUUACCCGAGACCGUUUUUGGAGUCGAGCACGAGGCAUUACUUAGCUUAUCUUACUAAUUCGGAGCAUAAAAACUUGGUUUGAAAAUUUAUUUCACUAUUUACAGCAAAUCUGUCCACCCAUGCAGUAGUCACUUAUUUAAUUAUAACUCGAGUUACGAAACUCAAAAUUUAGAUCCGUAAAUUUUCCCUGAAAUUAGACUCAUAUAUCUUUUCACCAUAAAAUUUUUCAGAAUUUUUGGUUUAGCCAAUUAGUACAGUUUAUUAGUUAAAGUCUCCCCUAUUUCAGUGACCGACCAUCCUGACCUCUUGUCACUAAAAUUCAAUUAUCUCUUUGUACAGACUUCAUAUGGUGCUUCCACUUAUUUCUCCUGAAAAUAGACUCAUAAAGGAAUAUAUACAUAUAAAUUAUAACUCAUAAUUCCUUCUGUGAAAUUUUUAAUGAAUUUCUAAAGUCAGAACAGGGGACCUCAAAAUCAUUCUGACCCUGUCUCACUAAAAUUCAAAUAUCUAAAAAUAUACAACUCUUUUUCUUACUCUAUUUCUUUCAUGUGAAAUUAGACUCAUUCAGCUUUAAUUUAGUAUCUCACUCAGAUUCUAAUUCAAUUUCCACCAUUUUUGAUGAUUUUUCAAAGUUACCUCAAUGCAUAUAUCCGAAAACUGUUCCAUUGCAAAUUUUAAAAAAAUUCAAUAUAACCCCUUUGUAAUUAUCUAACCUUCCCUGCAAAUUUAAAUCACAACCAAUUCCAGUAUUUCAACUACUUCAUUUAAAUACUAAUGAAGUUCAACCAAUCAACCAUUUCAAACAAAAAAAAAACAUGUAUAUAUUUCGAUAUCUAACACAACCAUAACAUUCAAAUUUAUUUUGCAUACUUAGUCAUUCAUACUAAUACUUUUUACUUCAAUUCCCUAUACAUGCCAUAUAAAUCCAAAAAGUUGUUUAACAAAAUCUACCGGAGUAAAUCUGGAUAGUGUGAUCGUUGUUGUAGAUCCGAUCCUCCGAAAUAUAUAUAUACGUCAAUCUACAAGAAACAGUAAACACACACCAGUAAGCUUACAGAAAGCUUAGUAAGUUCACAGGCUCAUAAUAAUAUAUUACCAAAAUUUCACUAACAACAUUAACAAACAAAUAAAAAUUCAGCAUUUCCUGCCAACCCCAAUCUCAAAUAAUAAAUAUAUAUAAUCGUGCUCAAUUUCAGAUGUCAACUUCUAUUCCAACAUUUAGUUUCAAUUGCACUUACAAAUACCUGUCAAAUUAAGGAUCGUCUUACGGAAUUGAGUACAUCGUUUGCCCGUGCCACGAUUUGCUUGAACAUUUCACAUUGCUAUAAUUCAGUAUGGUUUUCUUCCUUGAAAUACCAUACCUACUUUUCACAACUUAGUAUGGUUUUCUUCAUUGAAACACCAUACCUACUUUUCACAACUCAGUAUGGUUUUCUUCACCGAAACACCAUACCUACUUUUCACAAUUUUCCAUGGAUCCACCAUGGACUUAUCCGUCAAUUCGUCGUUGGUUGCCAAACAUGUGUACUCAAUCCUGCGUAUCCCUUAAUUUGAACUAACAAUCUCAUCUUCUUCUCAUUUUUACCAUAAUCAUAAUUCAGUAACAAUAUACGAAUUUAUACAAUAUAUCAUUUCCACAUUAACAAUUAAUCAUAAAAAUUCAGCCAUAUGAACUUACCUGGGCCGAUUUGUAGAAGUUUUAAAAGUUCAGAAACUAGUUUGAUACUUUCUCUUUUCCGCGUUUAUCUUCGGAUUCCCGAUCUAUAAUAUAAAUUUUUCCAUUCAUUAGCAUCUAAUUCAAUACUAAUUUACUUCACAAUUUAUGCCUUUCAAUUUUCAAAAUUACACUUUUACCUCCAAAAUUUACAAUUUUUACAAUUUGGUCCCUACUCAAUUAACCCUUCAAUUGAUCAAAAUUUUCCCAAUUAACACUUUAUCCAACCAUUUUAGACUACUGAACAGCCUUUGAUAUUCAUAAUUUCAGUACAAAACCCCAAUUCCUAACUUUUUCACAAUUAGGCCCUAAAAAUCAUUUUCUACUAAAAUCAUUUUAAUAAGAUCAUAAUAUAAUGAAAUUAAGACUUAAAAUCUAUAAUAAUUCAUCAUAAAAUUCCAGAACUUAUUCAUGGUAACUUACAAAAUCACUCAUAAAUUCAAAAACUAACAAAUUCAAUAGUUGGACCUAGUUGUAAAAGUCACAAAACAUGAAAAUUUCAAAGAAAAAAGCAAGAAUUGAACUUACAUGAUGAAAAAUAUGAAAAACCAGCUUGAAAACUCUCUCCUAUUACGUUUUGGCUGAAGAAAAAUGAUGAUAUCUCUAGAUUUUUCACUUUUAUCUUUGUUUUAUAUAUUUAAUUUGUAAAAUUUCCAAUUUUGCCCUUAUUUCUCCUUACUUUCCUGCUGAUUUUUCUUGCCCAACCGUCCAGCCCAUAAAAUUUUGGGCCUAAUUGCCUUUUAAAUCCCUCCUCAUUAGUCACUUAAGCUAUUUAAUCAUAAUUUAACAAAUUUUACACUAGUCUCAAUUUAGUCCUUUUUAGUUAAUUGACUAACCAAACGUUAAAAUUUUCUAACGAAACUUUUAUACUAACUCAAUGACAUUCCAUAAAUAUUUAUAAAAAUAUUUAUGGCUCGGUUUAUGAACUCGAUGUCUCGACACCGCAUUUUAGACCCACUUUACCUAUUAAAUUCUUUUUAAAUCACAAAAUUCACUAAUUCAAAAUUCUUCUAAAUUCACACUUGACCCAUAAUUAUUAAUUUAUUAAAUUUUAAGACUCACUUGUCAGAUUUAGUGAUCUCGAAUCACUGUUUCUGACACCACUGAAAAUUAGGCUGUUACAACUAACCCGAAUCCGUCGUCAGAACAAAGUUAUGGAGCAUCACCGAAAUUUACAAAUUAAUUUUCAGACAUCUAUUUCAUCUAGCAUUCAUAUUUGAAACCAACCAAAAUCAAAAUAUUAAUGAGCCAACGUUGGCUAAAUUAACUUAUACAUGCCAUUAUAACUAGAACCAAAUCAUCCAAAAUUACCGAUAAAACCAAUGGAUAGUGUGAUAUAUCUCCGACAAGUUUCCAACCCAAUCGAGCUUCCGAUUAUCUGUAGGGUAAAUAAAAAAAAUAAAUGCGUAAGCAAUGAAUGCUUAGUAAGCUCGUGUAGUCUUUAAUCAUAUUAGUUCCUUUAAAAUAUGAAAUUUAUGCAUAUCAUGGAUAACCCAAAGUUGAUACCACAAUACCCAUGAAGCUAUAUUCAUCAACUUACAAGGUAAAUAAAUCCACAAUAUCACUUAAACACAUUAUCCCAAGCUUAGUAGGAUUUUAUAUAACUUUAUCUCUUCAUAAUUUCUUUAUUUUCAUUUUCAUUUCUUUACUUUCCACGCUUAUUCUAUAUGCGUGACACACAAGUCAUAAACAUUUCAUUCAACCAUAGUCACAAGCUAAUGCAUUUCCAAAGUCUUUUUCAAAUUGAUUACAUGAUAAGUUAUUUCAUAAGAAAUUGUAUAAUCUAAACCUUACCACUUUUUAGUGAGCGCUAGCAUAUUUUCACUUAAAUACUUUCCAAUUCAAUGCAUUAUAUAAAUAAUCAUAAUAUCAUUCAACCAAUAGCUUGGCACUUGCCUAAGCAUCAAGCAAGAAUACUAGUUAGUGUACUUGCACACAUUACAUAUAAACUCAUCAUGCAUAAUUUUCUUGUAUCAACAUAUUAAAGAUAAUCAUACAUUUACAUGUCAUGAUACAUAUCAUUCUCUUGUCGUUUCUUCAUAGACAUAUAUCAUUCAUUUCAUUAUUUCGAUAUUUCAUGUACCAUCAUUUUCAUGAAUUUCGUACAUACCAGUAAUAGUUCAUUUCAAAUUCAUGUUAUCUCACUUUAAAAUUUUACCCGUUAUAUCAUUUAAAUAUCAAUGGUUAUAUUUAUUUUAGAUCAAUACCAAUAAUAAUCUAUAAAUCUUUCAAUUCAAUCACAUAAGUCUUUUACCAUUUCUUUCUGAAUCGAAGAACGACUUACGGAUAUUAGUACAUCAUUCUUUGGUGCCAUAUUCCAACUAUGGUCUUGCACAUAUAAACACUGCCAUAGUCCAACCAUGGUCUUACAUUUAUAGUGCCAUAACCCAGUUGUGGUUUUAUCCAUCAAUUCAUCCUUUGUCACAGUACGAUUGUACUCAAUCCCGCGUUCAAUCCAAAUUGAGUAUUGAAUUCGAUAUUAUAUUUCCAAUAAUAAUUCAAUUUCAUAUUUUCUAUUACCCUUAUUAUUUCCCCAUAUUUAUCCCGUUGAAUUUCUUGGAAAUUCGAUGGAUUUUCAGAUGUACACUUUUAGUGUACAAUUCCGGGUCCGUCAAUUCAUAUUCAUGUGGGCACAUUUCCAUUUCAGAGAGCACACUCCUGCGAACCUCAUCCUUACAGCGGGAUUGCCAGUCCAGGCUAAAUCCCCUAUAAUAUAAACUCAUAGAGUAUUGUCGGGAUUACCAGUCCAGGCUAAAUCCCCUGCAACGACAAUUAUUGUAAUGAUUUUGGAUCUGAAUUAUCAGUCCAAGCUAAAUUCAGACCCUAAUUCAGAUUACCCGUCCGGGUUAAAUCCAUUUUCCACAUAUUCUUCGGGAUGGCUAUAUCAGGAUAGGAUCACCCGUCCGGGCUAGAUCCUUUUUACCGUCAAUUCCUUUUCAGAGAUCUAUCGAAUUUUCCUUCCAUUCAACCGGGAUUUCUUCCCCUUUUUAUAAAAUAUAUCAAUGUUUCAUCAAUUUUCAUACAAUGAACAUUCAAAUCAUAUUACAUUAAUAACAAACAUUUCAAGAAUUUAAGAAUAUAAUUCAAGUUACACGAACUUACCUCAUUACUUGUUCGUGUUUACAAUUUCACUAAUUUGAUGUCUUUUCUUUUCCACGUUCAAGUUCCAUAUUUGAGUCAUUCGGAUCUUUCUAAACAAAUUUGAUCAUCAUUUUCAUUCAUUUCAUAUUCUGAUAUAUUCAAUUAAUACUCUAGGCAAGAUUACCAUAUUGCCCCUAAGCUUUUAAUUAAUGACGAUUUUAAUCCUUGGGCUCAGAAAAAUAAAUUAUUGUAAUUUUAAUCCUUGUUUUAAGCCUAAUUAUUCCCAUACAUAUUGAUAACAGCCCAUGAAUUCUAUAAAAUAUUAGAAUUUUUCAUAAUUUCAACACUUUUCAAUUUAAUCCCUAAAACAUGUUUUCACCCGAUCUUGUUCUAAAUUUCAUUCAAUUUUGUAAUUUAAAUAAAUAAACAGUCCAUUUCAUGCAAUUUGGUCAUUUUUGACAUUUUUUACAAAUUGCCCAUAAAGUUUUACUUUUAUUCAAUUUAGUCCCUGAGUCUAAAACAUGCAAAUUAUCCAUGCUAACUGAAUAUUCACAUAUAUAUCUUCCUCAUCCUUCUCUUCAUUCCACUUCCUUAAUUUAUAUAAAAUGCUUAUAAGUAACAUUAUCUAUGAUUUCACAAUUUACUUGUAAAUUUAUUCAAAGCUAUCCAUUUGAGUCAUAAUCACUAAAUUAUUUUUAUCUUGAGCUACGGAACUUCAAAUUAGGAUCUGCUAAUUUUUCCUGAAACUAGACUCACAUAUCUUCUUACCAUAAAAUUUUUAGAAUUUUUGGUUCAGCCAAUAAGUACAACUUAUUCUUUAAAUUCACCUCUCUUCUGCUAUCUGACAAUUCCGACCCUUCUUCACUUAAAAUUAAUUAUCUCUUUGUAUAGAAUUUGGAUUAUGUCCCCAUUUUUUUCUCUUGAAAAUAGACUCAUUAAGGAUUUUAAACAUAUAAAUUCUAACCCAUAAUUAUUUUUUUACUUUUUAAUGAUUUUUCCAAGUCAGAACAGGGGAACCCAAAUUCAUUCUGACCUUGUCUCACAAAAUUUAUUAUAUCUCAUAAUUUACGAUUCUAUUGCUUACACCGUUUCUUUUAUGAGAAAAUAGAAUCAAUAAGCUUUAAUUCCAUAUUUUAUUCAUACUCUAAUUCGAUUUUCAUAAUUUAUGGUGAUUUUUCAAAGUGAGCCUACUGUUGCUGUCCAAAACUGUUUUAGUACAAUAUGUUUAUUACCAUGUUUAUAACACCCUUAUUUUCUUUCUUUACACUGUGUCUAAUCACUUUCUCUUAUUUUCUCUUCACUAACAUAUCAAGAACAUAGGACCAUAUAUACAAAAACUUUACAUUAACAUCAUUUCCAUACUUUUUCAAUAAUAUUAAACUUAAAAAUAUAUUAAAAUCUUAAUGUACUUACCUUGUCAUAUUGAUUUCAAUCUUUAACUUGAUUUUCUCUCUCCUCCAGCAUCUAUUUCUUGAAUCUAACUUGAUAUUCUAGCUCCCCAUAGUCUCCUUGUUAUCUUUCUCUUUGAUGGAUAUGGAAAUUCUUUUGAUUUCUAGGUGAAAAUGGUGAAUUUUUGGUGGAAGGACUAAAUUGUAAAGAAAGUAAAACUUUCUUUCUUUCUCUCUUUUCCUCACGUUAGUGCAUGAAAAAAAAUGGGUGGGUUGCAUGAUUCUUCAUCUUCCUUUUCUUAUAUAUAUACUAAAUAAAAUAAUAAUAAAAUAUUAAAAUAUCAUUUAAAAAUCAAAUUAAAAUACUAAUAAACUAAUAUUUAUUUAUUUAAUCAAAAAUAUCUCCAACAUCAUCAUCAUCUUCUAUAUUUCCCUCUCUUCUAAUUGAUCAUUUUGCCCUUUAUGAUCUUUUAAAAUUUUAUCCUUGAGUCAUCACUUAAUUUGGUAAAAUUACUAUUUAGUCCCUCAAAAUUCUUCACCUUUUUCAAUUUGGUUCUAAUCCAUCCAUUUUCCUUAGUUUCUAGAUCAUUCCACCCUUAAAAUAUUUACACCAUUGGUCCUUCAAAUUUUUAUAUUUACACUUUAAGCCCUCAAUUUUUGAGUAUUUACUCUUGGGCAACAAAAUGUUUUUCACUUUUACGAUUUAAUCCUUUCUUGAACUAAUAUGUCAUAAUAUACUUCUCAAUGUUGACAUAACUCAAAAAUUUCCCCUUUUUGUCGCUUUAUUUCCUUACUUUAUUAUAUCAAAGAUAAUAUCUUACUGUAAAAAAAUUUUAGGGUAUUACAAUUGCGCAACAACAAUAUUAUUUUUAAUCAAAUGGCUAUAUAUAAUUUAAUAAAAUUUUAAAAAAUUUCUUAAUAAAAUUUUAAAAAAAAUUUCUUCAUCCUCUAACUUAAUAAAAUUUUUAAAAAAAAUUCAUGUUAGAUUGAAUUGACAUUGAGGUUAUAUAUAGUCACUGGUCAUGUCAAAGAGAAUAGCUCUACCAAAAUAAAAAAUUUAUUUUUAUUAAAAAUUUUAAAAAAAAUUAAUUGCAGCAUAGUAACCGUCAUUCUCUAUGACUCUAUCAAAUAAAAUAAUAAUUUUAAUUUCAAAUUAAAAAUAAAAAUCACUUUAAAAAUUUGACAUAAUAAAAGUGGUGUGACCAAUUUAUUUGGCUCCCGAAAUAUUAUUAUUUAUUUUCUAGUUCCCAAAAUAUUUAAAAAUAUUGGUGUUAGAGUGGUAUUUAUACGGGUGAAGCCAAAUAAAUUAACUUUACCUACAAAAAUUAAUUUUUGUUAUAAAAUAAAGAGAGAUGGAGAGAAUGAAGAACAAAUAAAAUAUGAAAGCAAUAGAGAAUGUACUUUAUUGAUCAAAGGGAUGAUUACAAUGCUUCAUCGGAGUCUCUAUUUAUAGGCAUAAGAAGUAUAAAAGAAGUAGAGGUCUAAUUCUAAUAACUAAUAGAAUUUAAAGUAUAUCAAAGCUUUAUCUUGAUCAUGAUGGACAUCCACUAAAUAAGAUAUUUAUAACACUUCCCCUUGGAUGUCCAUUGGUGGAUAAUGUGCCACGUUAAAACCUUAUUAGGAAAAAUCCUGUGGGAUAAAAACCUAAUGAAGGAAAAAGAGUACACAAUCUUCUAUUACAAGUUGUCUCAUUAAAAAUAUUUACCAGGAAAACCCAAUGGGACAAUACCUUGGUUAAAGGAAAAGAGUACAACUUAUUUUAGACUCCCCCUAAUAGCAACAUUACAUUACAUCUUUAAGUUGACGCAUUCCAAUCUUGUGUAGUAGUCUUUCAAAUGUUGAAGUUGGCAAUGCCUUAGUAAAAAUAUAUGUUAAAUUAUCACUAGAAUGAAUUUGUUGAACAUUUAUAUCACCUCUUUUCUCAAGAUCAUGGGUGAAGAAUAAUUUUGGCGAAAUAUGUUUCGUUCUAUCACCUUUGAUGUAACCACUCUUCAAUUGAGCUAUACAUGUUGCAUUAUCUUCAUAUAAGAUAGUUGGCAUCUUUUCCUAUAAAGGCAAAUUACAUAUCUUCUAGAUAUGUUGGGUCAAUAACCUUAGUCAAAUACACUCUCGACUUGCCUCAUUCAUUGCAAUUAUUUCUACAUGAUUUGAAUAAGCAACAGCUAAUGUUUGCUUUGUCGAACAUCAUGAUAUGGUAGUACCCCCCUCACAUGUAAAUAAAUAUCAUGUUUGAGAUCGACCUUUAUGUGGAUCUGGUAAGUAUCCAGCAUCAGCAUAGCCAACUAAUAAGGAUUUUGAAUCAUCUGAAUAAAAUAAACCCGUACCAAUGGUCCCUCUGAAAUAUCUAAAUACAUGUUUAAUUCCAUUCCAAUGCCUACAUGUUGGAGAAGAACUAAAUCUUACUAACAAGUUUACAGUGAAAGCUAUAUCAGGUCUUAUGUUGUUUGUAAGAUACAUCAAUGCCCUUAUGGCACUUAGAUAUGGUACUUUAGGACCAAGAAACUCUUCAUCAUUCUCGCAAGGAAGAAAUUGAUCUUUAUUCACAUCUAACGAUCGUACAACCAUCGGAGUAGUUAAUGGGUGUGUUUUAUCCAUGUAAAAUUUCUUUAAUAUCUUUUUCAUAUAAGUUGAUUAAUAAACAUGAAUUUUAUCUUUUAAAUGCUUGAUUUGUAAUCCAAGAUAAAACUUUGUUUUUCCAAGAUUUUUCAUCUCAAAUUCUUUCUUUAAACAAUUUAUUGUAUUUUGAAGCUCUUUAGGAGUUUCCAAUAAUAUUUAGAUAAUCAACAUAAACAACAAUUAUUACAAAAUAUGAUCCAAACCUUUUUAUAAAGACACAUGGACAAAUUGGAUCGUUUUUGUAACCUUCCUUUAACAAAUGUUCACUAAUACGAUUGUACCACAUGUCGAAACCAUUUUUUAAGUUUGAAAAAACAGGGAUCGACUUUUAAAAUAAAAACGGGAGUCGCCACCGAUCUUUUAUUAAGGUGUGACCGGUUCACCAUUAAAAUGAUUUUUGGUCUGCGAAUUUUGAGAAAAAUAGGUUCGGGAGUCGGUUACGCACGAGGAAGGGUUAGCACCCUCGUAACGCCCAAAAUUGGUACCGAAUCGAUUGUUUAAUGUCUUAAUGUCGAGAAUUUGAAAAGAUUUUUAAAAUACGAUCAUUUGAAAAGAGAAUUUGAAUAGAAUGAAUUUGAUUGAUGUGACUCACUUAUAAAUUGUCACACUCAGUAAGUUAGAGUGUAACGUUUUAAAUCCUUAAAAUUAAGUUUAUCUUUUAACUUUUGAAACCUAUGCAUUUUAAGAAAGAUAUCCGAUUAUUUGGGUCAAAUGAUAAAAUCAAAACCCAGUAAGUUAGGGCUCGAUUUCACAAAAUUCCUAAAUAUCGAAUAUUGCCUUUAUUUUAAAGUCGAGAUAGCAAAAUGCCAUAUCCAGUAAGUUUGGAUCCAACAUUUUGAAGUCUCAAAAGUUUUAUUUUAAAAUUGUAUGGUUUUACCAAAAUAAACACUUGGCUAUUCAAAUUCAUCGAGAAGAAUGGAAGCCCAGUAAGUUAGGGCACCAUUCUCUCGAGAGUUAUGGACACCAGGCCUUUUUUGAAAAUUAUGAAAUAGAACGAUUGUUGUGCUUAAAAAAAACAAACAAUUUUUAUAAAUGUAGCAUGAUUGAAUGGUAAUAUACAAUGUUCAAGAUAAAUGGCAAUCCAAACACACACUAAAAAAAACAAGUAAAUAAUAGGUAAAUGCAAAUAUCAAUAAUAAUUCUAAUCAUAUCUUACAAACAUCAAUAUUAGCAAUUUAACAUCCAAUAAAUUAAUAAUCAAUUUUCUAAAAGGUACAUCAAGACAAUGAGAGAAAAAAUAAUUAAUAUCCUAUACAUAAAAGUUCUAAAAUAAAUUAAAUAUAUGAAUUCAAAAUAGACUCAAAAUAGAAUUAGAAUAACCAUUGAAUAGUCGAAUUUGAAAUAAAUUUGAAGCAAAUAAAAUACAUAUAUUAGCUUAAUAUAUAUAAAAGAUAAACAUAAUAAUAAUAAUAAUAAUAAUAAUAAUAAUAAUAAUAAUAAUACAUAUACUCGAUUAAAAAACAUACAUAAAAUAUUGAAAGUAAAACGAAAUUUAAUGGGUAGCAAACAUAAAUAAAAAUAAAAGAAAGAUUAAAUUUGAACUUCAAAAAAAAGAGGGACUAAAACAGCAAAUAGACGCAUAAUUCUAAUGAUUUUAAUCUGCUUGAUGAAAACGACGACGUUUGAAUAUGGAUUUAAAUGAAAUCAAAAUCAAAUCCACAGUUCAAAUUUAAAAAGUGAAUAAAAUCCAAUUGAAAUUAUACUGAACACGGAGAGACUCAUUGCGCAAAUAGACCAACGAGCGAAAAUGCGCGGAUCCUCCCCAGGUCGGGUCACACACGCGGGUCAUAUGGCCAAUACGGCGCCGUUUUAAGGCCACUGACGCAGGCCUUAAACGGUGUCGUUUUCCGCACCAUAAAUAUAAACUUAAAAACCCUAAAAAUAGCAGCCAUCCUUUGUCCUGGAAGAAAACCUAGAGCAAAGCUACUCCCCCCUGCACCACUUCAGCAUCGGAGCCCAAAGUCGACUGGUUCCGAACCAACGAGGGAUUCGACGGUAGACUUAUAGGUACGAGCCCUGACUCCCCCCUUCCUUCUCUCCUUUUUUUUAUGCUUAUAUAUAUGUAUUAAUAACAAAACAAAAAGAAAGAAAAGCGAUCGGAAAAAGAAAAGAAUCGAUCAGAGAAAAAAGAACCUUUUUUUUAUUGAUUUCCUUUUUGAUACAGUUUUUCGUGUGUUUUUUGUGUGCGAGAGUAACCCCCUUUUUAUAAUGCCUAUUUUGCUUUUUUUUUUUUAGCCAGAAAACAUGAAAAGAAAAGAAAAAAUGUUUUUCCUUCUUUGUUGUUGCUGCUGUUUUCUGUUUGUCUUCUCUUGCAGGUACGGGUGUGCGUGGCGUGGCUUGACAUGUACGGAGGCAAAGGUUGGCGAGGAGCGGCUCGGUUGGGUCUGUUGUGCGAGGGAGUUGCGGCGCCUGGUCUGUUCCAGAAACCCUAGGGUUUUUGGAAGCUGUUUAGGGCUAUUAGUGUUUGGGCUUAUUGGGCCUGGUGUAAUUGGGGUUAAACUUUAGUGGGCCUUAGUGGGUUAAUAACUUGUAUUGGACUGUUUUUAUUGGACUUUUGAUUUAUUUGGCUUUUUAUUUUUUUAUUUACUUGUUUUUUUAUAUGCAUGUGGGCGGGCACAAAUUGGGUUUUACACCACAUACAUUCAGAUUAUUUUUAUCCAUAUAAACUUUUCUUUAAUUUGAUUGAGUAAUUUUCUCAAGAAACUCUAUAUCAUUUUGGGAUUUUAAAUCUUUCAAGGAUUUUCAUAUAAAUUUCACUAUCAAGUGCACCAUAUAAAUAAGAUGUAACAACAUCCAUUAAAUGCAUGUCAAGUUUUUCUCGUACUGCCAAACUAAUAAGAUGUCUCUUCAUAAUCAAUGUUGGGCCUUUGCGAAAAUCCUUUUGCUACAAGACGAGCUUUAUAUCUUAUGACUUCAUCAAUUUCAUUUCAUUUUCGCACAAAUACUCAUUUAUAUCCUACCGACUUUACACCUUUAGGUGUUUUGGACUACAGGUCCAAAAACUUCACGUUUAGAAAGUGAAUCCAAUUAUACUUGAAUUGCAUCUUUCCAUUUUGACCAAUCUUUUCUAUUUUUACAUUCCUUAAUAGAUUUAGGCUCAGGAUCCUCAUUUUCUAAUGUUAUUUCAAUAGCAACAUUAUAAGCAAAAUUGUUGUCGACAACUACAUUAUUUUUGGUUCCAUCUUUUUAUCGUAUUGACAUAACUUAUCGAUAUCUCUUUAUUUUCAUCAUUUCUAUUUUCAUUUUAAGGUACCUGAAUCUCUUCUUGAGUUUUAUAAUUAGUUAUAUCAUAGGUCUCUUCAGGAACUCCUGCCUCCACUAUGUGACCGCCUUGAAUGUUUACUCCUUUUCUUUUAUAAGGAUUUUUAUCUUUGGAACCGACCGGUCUUCUAUGCUUCAGGCAUGGAUUACUUUCUUUUGCAUUAACAGUUUGCCCUAUUAGGACAUCAAUUCGUAUUGGAGCAUUUUCAGCUGGUAUUUGAAAUUUAAUGAAUUUGGCAAUUGAUUUGUAAAAUAAAUUAUCUGUUGAACUUCUACUUCACGUUGCUUUGUACGAGGAUCUUAAAUAUUGAUAAUUCAGUUCAAGUACUUUAUUAAUCCAACUUUUAUUCUCUCACUCCAAUGUUGGGAAAACUGACAACUCAUGUCAUAACUAAAUACCGAAUUAAUAGCUCAAAAAUAAUAUAAGGAGACUCAUAUAAAUAUACAUUCCCAAUCUCUUAUUAUGACCCAUCUUUGUGCGUUGUGGUGGAGCAGUUGGAACAUAUAUCGCACAUCUAAAAAAUGUAAGAUGGAAAAUAUUUGGCUCUUAACCAAAAAUCAAUUGUAAUGAAGAGUAUUUAUAAUUUAUUGGCUUGAUGCAUACAACAUGUAAAUCAAUACAAUCUCAUGCUGAAAUAGAAAGUUUUGUUCUCAUAAGUAAUGAUUUAGCUAUUAGUUGGAGGCAUUUGAUAAACAAUUCAGCUAAAUCAUUUUGUGUGUGAUCAUGAGCUACAAGAUGUUUAACUUUUAUCCCAAUUGACAUGCAAUAAUCAUUGAAAACUUGGGAUGUAAACUCACUAACAUUAGCAAGAUAACUUGUUUUAAUUGCAUAAUCUGAAAUUAAUCAUUUAAACAAGCAGUCUCGCAAACAAAAGGUUGCGAGUUGAUAACGCAUGUGAUUAUUUUGUAGAUGCAUCUACCAAAAUCAUAUAAUAUCAAAAUCAUCCACAUGGUGGAUGAAUGGGCCCAUAUUCAUUUCAGAAAUGCAAGACAUUAAAUCUCAACUUUAGCUAGUGAGUUUCUAAGAUUCAACUUUCAUUGAGAACAAGCAACAAAUGAGAAUUCUUUAAAUUAAAUAAUCUUUUGGAUCUUUAAUGAAUGUCCAUAUGAAUUCUCAAUUAAUUUUUGAAUCAUAUAUGAUCCAGGAUGGUCUAACUGGUUACGCCAAGUAGUAAAUGCAUUUGUAUUAGUAAACUUCUUGUUUACUUUAACAUGUGUUUCAAUUGUACUAAAUUGUAAUAAAUUGAUAAUUUUAUUGUCAUUCUUUUAUUUUGUAUCCACAUAUAAAUACUAUAGUGACAUUUACUAUUGGAAAUGUCUAAAUCUAUGUGAAGUCUAUAAUGCCACUAAGUCAAUAAAUAAAUAUAAUUUUCAAAUAAUUAUAUAUAAUAUUCGUUUUAGGGAAUAUGUCAAAAUAUUCAAAUAUAAGGCAUUUGGUCUAGUGGUAUGAUUCUCGCUUAGAGUGCGAGAGGUCCCAAGUUCGAUUCAAAAUAUAAAUAACUCAAUCCUCUUUUGAUUCAUAUCAAAUAUAAUCUUUUCCUCAUUCACAAUCUCAACAUGAGAUCCAUUAUGAAUAUCUUUUAAAACUAAUGCAUUAACUAUCACAAACUUUGUGCUUUUUAGAUAUUGAUAUAUUAUCUCUUCUAGAGCUUUCAAUUAACUUUUUACUAUCAAAUAUUGGAAUAUAUUUGUUUAUUUCAGCACCAAAUAAGAUAAAUAUUUUCUAUCUGUAAUGAUAAAAUUUAUUACUAGAUUCUCAUAUCCUUCCUUAAAGGAUAUUAUCAGAGACAAAAUAUUUGGGCAUGCACCACAUAUGUGACCAGUAAUCUCCAUAUCACAUUGGUAACAUAAGUUAUAUUUACCAUUUGAAAAUUUAUCUUGAGAACUCUCAUUGUUCUCUUAUUUAUUACUAUGUUCCUACUUUUAGUGGUCCAUGAGUAUAUCCUUUAUUUUCUUUAUGUUUACAUUCUCUUCGGGGAAUGCAACAAAUCUAGUAGGAUGGACUUAUAAACAUCCCAAUAGAUUCUUUAUUUCAUAAUCACCAUCGCAAACAUGCGUGAGAUUUAAAUCAAAAUUUAUCUAUUCAUAUUGUCAUGAUUAGUCUCCAAUUAUAAUAAACAUGAUAUAAUACAUAAAACAUAAUAAAAUAUACCUGAAGAUCUUUAACAUCAUCGUCAUCAUAUUGACUAUUAUCACGAGCACUAUUACAAGUAGUAAAACAACUUUGUUUUCGUAAUAACAUUUACAAUCUAAUAGUAAAAAUUAUUUAAUAAAUAAUCAAAAUUUGUGUAUCAAAAUUUUCAUGUACGAUGCUUGAAAAUUAUCUGAUACACAUUGUAUCAAAUUUCAAUACCACAUAUAUGUUAUAAAAUCUUAUCUUGCUCUAAUAAAAUAUUUAUAAGUUCAAUUUAAAAGAUAUCAUACAAUUAUUCAAUAUUAGAAAGCUAAUAAGACUAAAUAGAUCCUAUCAAAUUUCCUUUUAUUCAACAAUGGUAGGUUAUUUAGACUUUCCACCAUAAUUUUAAUAAAAUUUCAAGAAUAAAUAACAAGAAAAAAAAUUUAAAACACAAAAAUAUUAUGCAUAAUAUAAUUUAAUUAAAAAAACUUUAAAAAUAGAAAAAAGAACAUACCAUAUUAAUAGUAAACAUAUCUAAUCAAUAAUUAUGUCUUUUAAAUAAAAAAGCAAAAAUCAAAUACUAUCAGAAUGUGAAAUUUAUGUCAAAUAAAAAUUAAUAGUACUUAUACCUUAAUUGAAAAAGAAAAUAUGGCCGAAAUAUAAAAGUUUCUUACCAAAUCUAUACUUUACCCAUACUUGUACAAUAAAUCAAAGAUCAAAAAUAAGAAUCACAAUCCAUUCUGAGAUUGAAUCUUUCAACAUCCUGAAAAUGAAGUUGUAAGGGAGAGUUUAAGGUGAAAAGGAAUUUGAUUUGUGGGACGACUUCGAAAGAUUUUGAAAAAAAAAGAAAAUCAUCGUGUUGAUAACGUGUUAUAAAAUAAAGAGAGAUGGAGAGAAUAAAAAAUAAAGAAAACAUGAAAACAAUAAAAAAAAUAUACUUUAUUGAUCAAAGAGAUUAUUACAAUGUUUUAUCAGAUUUUAUUUAUAAGCAUAAGAAGAAUAAAAAAGAUAGAGAUCUAAUUCUAAUAACUAUUAAAAUUUAAAAUACAUAAAAAUUUUAUCUUAAGCAUGAUCAACAUCCACUUAACUUAAUAAGAUAUUUAUAAUAAUUUUUAAAUUCUAUAGGCGAAUUAUUAAGUAACGGGACAAGUAGGUGGUGAAAUUAAUAAAAAAAAAAUUCUGAAUUAUUUUUGUAAAAAAGCGGCAAAACCCAGAUUACCACAACAGAUGCAAAAUCUGAUCGGUGAAGUUAAGAAAAUGGAGACCAUGGGAAAUCUUCUAAUCCUUUUUCCAGCUUCUUUAUGCCUCUUCCUUUUCGUUGCUUUGCUCAAUGUUUUCUACAAGUAUUGGUGGAUACCUCAUCGUGUACAGUUCAUCAUGAAUUCACAAGGAAUCAGAGGACCUCCUUAUGAAUUUAUCCAUGGAAACAACAAAGAAGCUGCCCAAAUGCUCAUGGAAGCAUCUACCAAACCUAUGGCCUUGACACAAGAUAUAUUUCCCGAGUCAUGCCUCAUGUUUACUCCUGGAUCAACAAAUACGGUGAGAAUAUGUUUUUUUUUUCUCUUUUUGGGGUUGCAUUUUCUGAUUAACCUCCACUUUUCAAGAAAAGAAAUCAUUUUCUUUCAGGGAGGACUUAUCUUAGCUGGAAUGGAAUUCGAGCUCUACUGCUAAUUACAGACCCAGAUCUGGUGAACGAGGUCCUUAAAAACAGUGAAAAGGCUUUUCCAAAGCCGAAGGCUUCAUAUUUCUUCGACAAGCUACUAGGCGACGGUCUUGGUUCAACCGAAAGUGAGAAAUGGGCAAGGCUAAGGAAACUGGCCCAUUAUGCCUUUCAUGGGGAGAGCUUAAAAGUAAAUCAUCGCCACAUUCUACUCUAAUUAUUGUAGUGGAACAUCUACAAACUUGAUACUUUUUUUCAGAAUAUGAUUCCAGCAGUAGUUGCUAGCGUUGAAACCAUGCUUGAGAAAUGGAAAAGUAAGGAGGGCAAAGAGAUAGAAGUGUUCCAAGAGUUCAGAUUAUUGACUUCAGAAGUGAUAUCCAGAACCGCCUUUGGUAGCAGUUACUUGGAAGGGGAGAAGAUUUUUGACAUGUUGAUGAAGUUGACAGUAAUUGCAGGCAGAAAUAUUUAUAAAGCAGAGAUUCUCAUCAUCAGGUAACUUCAUCAAAUCUUUACUUUGUUAAUCAGCAUACUUCAGCUGCCAAUGGGUUGAUUUAACCUGGUUUUCCUUUUCAGCAAGUUUUGGAAAUCUGCUGAUGAAAUUGAAUCAGAUAAAAUUGCCAAAAUGAUACAUGAUUCUGUGAUGAAGAUUGUUAAAAAAAGGGAAGCCAAAGUAGUGACCGGAGAAGCUGAUAACUUCGGUCGUGAUUUUCUGGGAUUUCUGCUUAUCAUGAGGCGGACGAGAAAAAUAGGCUUUCGAUACAAGAUUUGGUAGAUGAGUGUAAAACUUUCUAUUUUUCUGGGCAAGAAACAGUCAAUUCCUUGCUUGCAUGGGCAACCCUGCUUUUAGCAAUACACACCGAUUGGCAAGAUAAAGCAAGAGCAGAGGUGAUUGAGGUCUUUGAUAAUCAAAACCCAGAUUCUGAAGGGAUGGCCAAAUUAAAGACGGUAAGCAAACUAUACAAAUUCAAUAGCUUGAAAACUAACAGUGAACAUUUAUAUUGCCCUUUGGAUUUCUUUUUCUCCAACAGAUUACCAUGAUUAUCAAUGAAACUUUACGGCUCUAUCCUCCUAUAAGUGGCAUGAUAAGAAAAGUAGGAAGAGAAGUCCGAUUAGGAACACUUGUCCUGCCUACUCAUUCACGGGUCGACAUGCGAAUCAUAGCACUUCACCAUGAUCCUGACUUAUGGGGAGAUGAUGUUGAUCUUUUCAAACCAGAGAGGUUUGCUGAGGGUUAGCCGAAGCUACUAAGUACAAUGCAGCUGCAUUUAUGCCCUUUGGAUUGGGACCUCGAUGUUGCGUAGGCAUGAGCUUUACAAUCAUUCAAGCGAAAAUUGCACUUUCCAUGAUUCUGCAACGCUACACUAUCAACCUCUCCCCUAGCUAUGUUCAUGCACCUUUACAACGUCUUACACUCAGG